rnacentral:lncRNA from 1 species
AAACAAGAUGUGGCUGUUCAGCCGGAGAAGUUUGAUGAAGUCCCCACCGAUGCUGGGAAUUCACAGACUAAACUGGAAGAAGGAUUGAAAACUCCUGCNNNNNNNNNNNNNNNNNNNNNNNNNNNNNNNNNNNNNNNNNNNNNNNNNNNNNNNNNNNNNNNNNNNNNNNNNNNNNNNNNNNNNNNNNNNNNNNNNNNNUCGGUAAUCCGCAGCCAGACACCAGUAGUCUGUAAGGCUUAUAUCUCGGAAAUCCGGCUCCCUCCGGACGUCCGAGGGCCGAACGCCUGAGGGCCGAACGUCCGACUGGCUUCGGUAAUCCGCAGCCAUACACCAGUAGUCUGUAAGGCUUAUAUCUCGGAAAUCCGGCUCCCUCCGGACGUCCGAGGGCCGGACGUCCGGCCAAGCUCCGAAAAUCCGGAAGUCAACACCAGUAGAAUGUGUGCACUAUAUCUCGGAAAUCCGGCUCCCUCCGGAUGCCCGAGCGCCGGAUGUCCGACACACAUCGGAAAUCCGGAAGCCACCACGAGUAGAACUUGUGCUGUAUAACACGAACUUCCGGGCCACUCCGGACGUCCGUAUGCUGAUGAAUUCAAAUAUGUUCAGGAACACCUACAGGCCUCGGACGACCGACCACUGUCAGACGUCCGGCCGCUGAUGAAUUCAGAAGAGUUCCAGUCAUGCCUACAGGUCUCGGACGACCGACCCCUGUCGGACGUCCGGACCCUCACGGACGCCCGGACUUCCGACAAGUGUCGGACGUCCGGACCCUGUGUGACUUAUUGCACCUCCAACGGCUGGAUUUCACUCCACACUAUAAAUACUCUUCUCCCACCUCGUGAAAGGGUGUUCAACACAGCUAAGACACAUCCAAGAACACCUUUCCUCUCACUCACUCUUGUCUACACCAAAUCCUAGAUCCCAAGAGCAUUUGUGAGUCCUUUUGAGUGUUGUUCCAAUCAAAAGAUAGAUCGUCUCCCUCUCCUCCUUCCCACCAAAGUGAUUCGUGAUUUGAGCAAGUUUUGAGCAAUCCCCGUGAUCUUGUUACUCUUGGAGGUUGGAGACUCCUAGGCGGUAGGAGUCUUCGGAGAGGAAUCAAACCAUUGUGAUUUCCCCCGGAAAGUUUGUGAAGGUUUGGAAGCCACCUCAAGGCUUACCACUAGUGGUUGAGAAACGCCUUCGUGGAGUUAUCUCAAAGGGAGAAUAGGGUGAGCCUUCGUGGCGUUGGUGUGCCUUCGUGGUAACAUCCGCCCCUCUAACGGUGACGUAGCUUCCCUCCAAGGAAGUGAACAUCGGGAUACAUCCUUGUCUCUCUCGGAGUUUCGGUUAUUCCUAACCCUAACUCUCUACUUGUGUUAAUCCUUAUUACAUACUUGUAUUUUCUUAUUGUUUACGGCUUGCCUUGUUUCACUCCUAAUAGUUUACUCUUUGUCAUAGCAAUUAUUAGGCUUACACUUAUAUUCCGCACUUUAGCCUAAAAUUGCCAAGUAAUUAUUAAAAUUUGGAUUUGUACCUAUUCACNNNNNNNNNNNNNNNNNNNNNNNNNNNNNNNNNNNNNNNNNNNNNNNNNNNNNNNNNNNNNNNNNNNNNNNNNNNNNNNNNNNNNNNNNNNNNNNNNNNNUCCAGUUGAAGAGAAAGUCAUUGCCUAUAAUGAUCCUAUUGUUCCCAGUGCUUACAUUGAGAAACCACCUUUCCCUGUUAGGAUAAAGGAUCAUUCUAAAGCUUCAACUGUUAUACGUAGAGGCUAUAUUAGAACACCUACACCCCCUGAGCAAAUUAGAGCUGAACCUAGCAUUGCUAUCAUCAAAGAUCUUCUGUCCGAUGAUGUUGAGGGACAUAAUAUUCACUUCGGUGAAGAUGCUGCUAGAAUUGCUAAACCUCACGCUAGAGACAAACAUGGGCAUGUUGUUGGCAUGCAUGUUGUUUCUGUUAAGAUAGGAGAUCAUUGUUAUCAUGGUUUAUGUGAUGUGGGUGCUAGUGUUAGUGCAAUACCUCAAUCCUUAUAUGAUGAAAUCAAAGACGAGAUUGCACCUAUUGAGAUAGAGCCUAUUGAUGUCACUAUUAAGCUUGCCAAUAGAGAUACUAUCUGCCCUGUGGGAAUUGUUAGGGAUGUNNNNNNNNNNNNNNNNNNNNNNNNNNNNNNNNNNNNNNNNNNNNNNNNNNNNNNNNNNNNNNNNNNNNNNNNNNNNNNNNNNNNNNNNNNNNNNNNNNNNNNNNNNNNNNNNNNNNNNNNNNNNNNNNNNNNNNNNNNNNNNNNNNNNNNNNNNNNNNNNNNNNNNNNNNNNNNNNNNNNNNNNNNNUUCCUCGUUCUUGCUACCGCACAAGACAGCCUUUGUCCCAUCAUAUUUGGCAGACCCUUCCUCAAUACUGUCAAUGCUCAUAUUGAUUGUGAGAAGCAAAAUGUCACUGUUGGCUUCGAAGGUGUGUCACAUGAGUUCAAUUUCUGUAAGUUUGGUAGACAACCUCAUGAAAAGGAGUUGCCUAGUAGGGAUGAAACUAUUGCCUUAGCCUCUAUUGUUGUGCCUCCUACUGAUCCCUUAGAGCAAUACUUGCUUGAGCAUGAAAAUGAUAUGCAUAUGGAUGAAAGGGAUGAGAUAGAUAGAGUUGUCUUAGAACAAUAUCCUAUCCUUCAGAAUAACUUGCAUGUUGAACUGCUUGGGGAUCCACCCCCACCAAAGGGUGAUCCUAUGUUCGAGCUUAAACAGUUGCCUGAUACUCUUAAGUAUGCUUAUCUUGAUGAAAAAGAGAUAUAUCCUGUUAUUAUUAGUGCUAGCCUCUUAGAGCAUGAAGAAACUAAGUUACUAAAAACUCUCAGGAAGCACCGUGCUGCUAUUGGAUAUACUCUUGAUGAUCUUAAGGGCAUUAGUCCUACUCUAUGCCAUCACAAGAUUAAAACUGAUCCUGACUUCAAACCAGUUGCUGAUCAUCAAAGGAGAUUGAAUCCUAAGAUGAAAGAAGUAGUGAGAAAAGAAAUACUAAAGCUCCUGGAAGCAUGUAUCAUUUAUCCUGUUGCUCAUAGUGAUUGGGUGAGUCCGGUGCAUUGCGACCCUAAGAACGGAGGCAUUACCGUUGUCCCUAAUGAUAAGGAUGAAUUGAUCCCUGCUACUGCAACAAAAGACCUUCCAACGGCGCCAGAAGCGUGCUGACGGGAGACUGUUCAUGUCUUGAUACUCCUCAGCAACGGCACCAGGAAUCCUUCUGCUACGGCUACGCCUUAAGGGACUUCCUAGGCAAAUAUGCAAAGGAUUUCCCCCGUGGCCUUGGAGCCUUGUUGGUGUUCCCUCGAAGUGGAAAGGGUGAUGUAGCGCAGCGGUGGUAAGUAUUUCCCUCAGUUUGAGAACCAAGGUAUCGAUCCAGUGAAGGAGUAUCUCAAGUGCCUGCACAAACACAAAAAGCUUGCUCCCAACGCUAUGAAGGGGUUGUCAAUCCCUUAUAGAUUGUUCGCCAAGUAAGAACUGAAAGCAACAAAGUAACAAAGCAAAGUAAAAGCANUAUCCAGCAUGCAUCUAGUGUAUUAAGUCCAAAAGAACAGAGUAACGCCUUAAGCAAGAUGACAUGAUGUAGAUGGACAAUCUCAUAUCUACGACAAAGCCCACCUUGUUACCCUUGAUGGCAACUACACGAUGUGUGCCUUGCUGCCCCUACUAUCACUGGGAAAGGUCACCACACGGUAAGAACCCAAAACCAAGCACUUCUCCCAUUGCAAAAAUCAUAGAUCUAGUUGGCCAAACAAAACCCAAGACUCGGAGAGACUUACAAGGAUAUCAAAUCAUGCAUAUAAGAAAUCAGCAAAGACUCAAAUAUAUAUCAUAGAUAAUCUAAUCACAAAUCCACAAUUCAUCGGAUAUCAACGAACACACCGCCAAAGAGGAUUACAUCGGAUAGAUCUCCAUGAAGAUCAUGGAGAACUUUGUAUUGAAGAUCCAAGAGAGAGAAGAAGCCAUCUAGCUAGUAACUACGGACCCGUAGGUCUGAAGUGAACUACUCACAAGUCAUUGGAGGGGCGAUGAUGUUGAUGUAGAAGCCCUCCAACUCCAAAGUCCCCUCCGGCAGGGCACCGGGAAGGGUCUCCAGAUGAGAUCUCGCGGAAACGGAAGCUUGCGACGGCGGAAAAGUGUUUUCGAGGAUUCCCUGAUUUUUUUCUGUAUUUUAGGGAAUAUAUAGGCGAAGGAGCUAGGUCAGGGGGGCGCCAGGGAGGCCACAAUCCUGCUGGCCGCCGCCCCCAUGGCGGCGGCUAGGGGGCUUGUGGGCCCCUUGUAGCCCUCCUGGCUUGGCCCUCAAGCCCCCUGAUCUUCUUCCAGUCGGGAAAAUUUUAUUUUUGGGAUUUUAUUCCGUUUGGACUCCGUUCCAAAAUCAGAUCUGAAAAGAGCCAAAAACACAGAAAAAAUAGGAACUGGCACUUGGCACUGAAUUAAUAAGUUAGUCCCAAAGAAGAUAUAAAAGGUACAUAAAACAUCCAAAGAUGACAAGAUAACAACAUCAAACCAUCAAAAAUUAUAGAUACGUUUGAGACGUAUCAAGCAUCCCCAAGCUUAACUCCUGCUCGUCCUCGAGUAGGGAAGUGAUAAAGAAUGAAUUUUUGAUGCUUUCAUGCUACCUAGCAUAGAUGUCCUUUGUAACUCCUCUUAUGUGACGUGAAUGUUCAGAUCCAUUAGAUUCAAAACAAUAGUUUGCUAUUGACAUAGAAACAAUAAUAAUUCAAGCAAACUAGCAAGGUAAUCAUGAACUUUCAAAAUAACAAUGCCAAAAGAAAGUUAUCCCUACAAAAGCAUAUAGUCUGGCUAUUCUCUAUCAUCAUUGCACAACAAAUUUAAAUCAUGCACAACCCCGGUAUUGGGCAAGUAAUUGUUUCACACAUUUACUUUCUCAAACCUUUUCAACUCUCACGCAAUACAUGAGCGUGAGCCAUGGUUUUAGCACUAUAAGUGGUGUGGAGUGUGGUGGAGGUUGCAAGACAAAAUAAGGAGAAGAUGAUCACAUUAACUAGGCAUAUCAAUGAGCUGUGGAGAUGCUCAUCAAUAGAUAUCAAUGUGAAUGAGUAGGGAUUGCCAUACAAAUGAUGCACUAGAGCUAAGAGUAUGUGAAAGCUCUUAAAGAAAACUAGUGGGUGUGCAUCCAACUUGCUUGCUCACGAAGACCUAAGGCAAUUUUGAGGAAGCCUAUCAUUGGAAUAUACAAGCCAAGUUAUAUAAUGAAAAUUUCCCACUAGCUAUAUGGUGGUGACAAAACGAGAUACUCUCAAUCAUGUAGAUCAUGGUGCUUAAUAUGCACAAGUGUGGAAAGGUGGUAACAUUGUCCCUUCUCUCUUUUUCUCUCAUCAUUUUUUUUGGUGGGCUCAUUGGCCUCUUUUUUUUGGUGGGCAUCUUGGCCUCUUUUAUUUCCUCACAUGGGACAAUGCUCCAUCGAUGAUGAUCAUCACACUUUCAACUCAAAACUUAGAGCAACGAUGAUUCUAUAUGGAAUGCCUUCGGUAGUGUACCGUGACAAUGAUCUAGCAAGGCAUAGACAUUAAUGGAAAUAUCAUGCUAGCUAUCUUACGAUCAUGCAAUGGCAAUGUAGAAGUGGUGGCACAUGUCAUGGUGGUAGUUGCAUGGCAAUAUAUCUCGGAAUGACUUUGAAAAAGCCAUAGUAGGUAGGUAUGGUGGCUGUUUUGAGGGAGGCUAAUGGUGGGUUUUGUGCACCGGCGAAAGUUGCACGACACUAAGAAGAUAGUGAUGGUGGAAGGUGAAAGUGCAUUUAAACCAUGGACUCAACAUUAGUCAUGAAGAACUCAUAUACUUGUUGCAAAAGUUUUGUUAGUAAUCAAAACAAAGCAUUCAACGCAUACUCCUAGGGGAAGGGUUGGUAGGUAUAAACCAUCGCGCGAUCCCGACCGCCACACAAAGGAUGACAAUCAAAAGACCAAUCAUGCUCAGACUUCAUCACAUAGUGGUUCACCAUACGUGCAUGCUACGGGAAUCACUAACUUCAACACAAGUAUUUCUAGAUCCACAACACCUUAUUAGCAUAACUUCAAUAUUACCACAACCACAACUCAAAACUAGUUGAGAUGGAUCAAACUUCUAUAACUAUUCAAUGCACAUGAAGGUGGAAGUUUUCGUAUCCCUUUGGAUAACUACCCCUUUUGAGACUACUUUCAAAGCAUAGAUCAACUACCAAGCCACGCACCGCUGUGCUCUAAAAGAUAUAAGUGACGCACAUAGAGCAAAAGUAUCUAGCCCAAAAGAUAUAAGUGAAGCACAUGUGAGCUGAAUUGUCUACCAGAGGAUAUAAGUGAAGCUCGACAAAAUCACGGUGAGUGCAUGUCUCUCUCUCUAGGUGUGCGGCAAGGAUGAUUGUGACACAACAAAAAUAAAAGACUCUUACGAUACAAGACGCUCCAAGCAAAAACACAUAAUAUGUGGUGAAUAAAAAUAUAGCCCCAAGUAACGUUACCGAUGGAUUGAAAACGAGAGAGGGGAUGCCUUCCCGGGGCAUCCCCAAGCUUAGGCUUUUACGGCAUCCUUGAAUCUCUUGGGGUGCCUUGGGCAUCCCCAAGCUUGAGCUCUUGCCACUCUUUAUCUCUUUGUCCAUAAGAACUUCACCCAAAACUUGAAAACUUCACAACACGAAACUUAAAUAGAAACUCGUGAUAACAUUAGUAUAAGAAAGCAAACCACCACUUCCUUAGGUACUGUAGCAAACUUAAAUUCUACUUAUGCUGAUGUUGGGUUACUGUAUUUUCAAUCUUCCAUGGCUAAUACCCCCCGAUACUAUCCAUAGUUUCAUCAAAAUAAGCAACCAACACAACAAAAAACAGAAUAUGUUAACAGCAGACCAGUCUGUAGCAAUCUGUAUAUCUCGUAUACUUCUGGUACUUCAAAAAUUCUGAAACAUUACGACAGUCUGAAGAAUUUGUGUAGAAAUCAGAAGCAAGAAGAAUCAACUCAAAAGCUCUUACAUAAAAAAUGAAAAUUAUUUUCGUGAGCAGAAAGUUUCUGUCUUUUCCACCAUGACCAAACGAUCAUCCCCAAGACUAAUCAUAACGAUUUUGCUUGGCACAAACGCAAAAAGAAACACAAAAAACACAAUCAUAACUGAAUUAUGAAAGUGUGGAAAACACAAAACAGAAAGAAAAAGGAUAGAUUCGUUGGGUUGCCUCCCAACAAGCGCUAUUGUUUAACGCCCUUAGCUAGGCAAAAGGUGAUGGAAUCACGUAUAGUCAUCUUUGGUGCUCAAACCAUAAGUAGCCCUCAUCAUAGAUUCAUAAGGUAAUCUUAUUUUCUUUCUAGGAAAGUGCUAUGUGCCCUUAUUUAAAGGAAAUUGAAAUCUAAUAUUCCCUUCCUUCAUAUCGAUGAUAGCACCAAUAGUCCUUAGGAAAGGUCUACCAAGAAUAAUGGGACAUGAAGGAUUGCAAUCUAUGUCAAGUAUAAUGAAAUCCACGGGUACAUAGUUCUUAUUUGCAACAAUAAGAACAUCAUCGAUCCUUCCCAUGGGUUUCUUGACAGUAGAAUCCGCAAGAUGCAAAUUAAGAGAACACUCUCCAAUCUCAUGAAAACUAAGAAUAUCACAUAAAGACUUUGGAAUCGCGGAAACACUAGCACCCAAAUCAUACAAAGCAUUGCACUCCUAGUUUUUGAUCUUGAUUUUGAUAGUAGGUUCCCACUCAUCAUGAAGUUUUCUAGGUAUAGAGACUUCUAAUUCAAGCUUCUCUUCAAGAGAUUUCAUCAUAGCAUCUACGAUAUGCGCGGUAAAGGCUUUGCUUUGGCUAUAAGCAUGUGGAGAGUUUGCAAUGGAUUGCAUCAAAGAAAUGCAUUCAAACAAGGAGCAAUUAUCAUAAUUGAAUUCCUUGAAAUCCAAAGUGGGAGUUUCAUUACUACCCAAAAUUUUGAUUUCUUCUAAUACACUCUCCACACCUUUAUCAUCAAGAUGGGUGGACUCCGAAUCAUUGGGGCGUUUUUCAACCAAAGUGGAUUCAUAUCCAGCCCCUUCAUCAAUAGGUUUGACAAGCGAAAACUAAGAUUCAAGAGGAGACACACCAAGCACUUUAAGAUCUUCGUGAUUUGCAUCACUAGAAUGCACCCCUUUAAACCAUUCAUGCCUGGCGCGAAUUUGGGCGGUUCUUUCUUUGCUCUCAUUCAUGGAGACACGCAUAGAUUUCAAAGUUUCAUCCAAGUUGACCUUGGGAGGAGCGCAUCUAACUUUCAAAGCAUCAAUAUCACAAGACAUCCUAUCAACGCUCUUAGCCAAAUCGUCUAUCUUGAGUAGUUUUUCCUCUAUGAACGCAUUGAAAAUCUUUUGAGAGUUGAUGAACUCUUUGAUAUUACUCUCUAAAUCAGAGGGUAAUUUGUUGUGAUUUCCAUAAGUGUUGUUGUAGGAAUUUCCAUAGUUGUUAGAGGAGUUACUAGGAAAAUGCCUAGGAACAUAGUUUCCUCUAAAAGCAUUGUUGUUGCCAAAAUUGUUCCUACCAACAAAAUUCACGUCCAAACUAGCGUUGCUACUCUCAAUCAAAGAAGAUAGUGGCAUGUCAUUAGGAUCUAAAGGAGCGUUUCUACUAGCAACCAAAUUCAUCAACUCGUCCAUCUUAGCACUAAGCGAAUUAAUUUCUUCUAUAGCGUGUACCUUUUUGCUAGGAGGCGACCUUUCAGUGUGCCACUUAGAGUAGUUGGUCAUAAUAUUGUCUAGGAGUUUUGUAGCGUCUCCUAACGUGAUUUCCAUGAACGUUCCACCUGAGGCGGAGUCCAAUAUAUUGCGAGAAGCGAAAUUCAAGCCAGUGUAAAAGAUUUGUAUAAUCAUCCACAAACUCAAGCCAUGAGCGGGACAAUUUCUAAUCAUAAGCUUCAUCCUCUCCCAAGAUUGUGCAACGUGUUCAUGAUGAAGUUGCUUGAAAUUCAUGAUAUCGUUACGUAAGGAGAUGAUCUUAGCCGGCAGAAAAUCUUGGAUAUGUAAGCAUCUUUGCACUUAUCCCAAGAAUCGAUACUAUUUUUAGGCAAAGAAGAAAACCAAGUUUUUGCGCGAUCUCGCAACGAGAAAGGAGAAAGCUUCAACUUAAUCACGUCAUUAUCCACAUCUCUUUUGUUUUGCAUAUCACAAAGCUCAAUGAAGGUAUUGAGAUGGGAUGCAACAUCUUCACUAGGAAGGCCAGAGAAUUGCUCUUUCAUAACAAGAUUCAGCAAAGCUGCGUUGAUUUCGUACGAUUCCGCACUAGUGGCGGGAGCAAUCGGAGUACUAAUAAAAUCAUUAUUAUUGGUACUCGAGAAGUCGCAAAGUUUGGUGUUUUCAGCCAUGAUGACUUCAACAAACAAACAAGCACACAAGCAAGCAAGAAAACCAGCAAAGGAAAACGGCAAAAAGGCAAAUGGAAAAAGAAAAAGGCAAAGGAGAAAGGCAAAUGAAAACGGCAAAUGUGAAGUGGGGGAGAAGAAAACGAGAGGCAACUGGCAAAAAAGUAAAUGCAAGAGAUGAGUUUGUGAGACCUACUUGGAUAAAUCUCUCCUUCCCCGGCAACGGCGCCAGAAAUACUUCUGCUACUGCAACAAAAGACCUUCCAACGGCGCCAGGAACGUGCUGACGGGUGACUGUUCUUGUCUUGAUACUCCUCAGCAACGGCACCAGGAAUCCUUCUGCUACGGCUACGCCUUAAGGGACUUCCUAGGCAAAUAUGCAAAGGAUUUCCCCCGUGGCCUUGGAGCCUUGCGUUGGUGUUCCCUCGAAGCGGAAAGGGUGAUGUAGCGCAGUGGUGGUAAGUAUUUCCCUCUGUUUGAGAACCAAGGUAUCGAUCCAGUGAAGGAGUAUCUCAAGUGCAUGCACAAACACAAAAAGCUUGCUCCCAACGCUAUGAAGGGGUUGUCAAUCCCUUAUAGAUUGUUCACCAAGUGAGAACUGAAAGCAACAAAGUAAAAAAGCAAAGUAAAAGCAAAAGUGGAAACGAUAGGUGUGAAUAGACCCGGGGGCCGUAGUGUUUACUAGUGGCUUCUCUCAUGAAAGCAAGUAGACGGUGGGUGAACAAAUUACUGUCGAGCAAUUGAUAGAAGCGCGCAAAGUCGUGACGUCAUCUAUGGAAAUGAUUAUAUCUAUAGGCAUCACGUCCAAAACAAGUAGAUCGAUACUUUCUGCAUCUACUACUAUUACUCCACACGUCGACCGCUAUCCAGCAUGCAUCUANNNNNNNNNGAGCAAUUGAUAGAACCGCGCAAAGUCGUGACGUCAUAUAUGGCAAUGAUUAUAUCUAUAGGCAUCACGUCCAAAACAAGUAGACCGAUACUUUAUGCAUCUACUACUAUUACUCCACACGUCGACCGCUAUCCAGCAUGCAUCUAGUGUAUUAUGUCCAAAAGAACAGAGUAACGCCUUAAGCAAGAUGACAUGAUGUAGAUGGACAAUCUCAUAUCUACGACAAAGCCCACCUUGUUACCCUUGAUGGCAACUACACGAUGUGUGCCUUGCUGCCCCUACUGUCACUCAGAAAGGUCACCACAUGGUAAGAACCCAAAACCAAGCACUUCUCCCAUUGCAAGAAUCAUAGAUCAAGUUGGCCAAACAAAACCCAAGACUCAGAGAGACUUACAAGGAUAUCAAAUCAUGCAUAUAAGAAAUCAACAAAGACUCGAAUAUAUAUCAUAGAUAAUCUGAUCACAAAUCCACAAUUCAUCGGAUCUCGACAAACACACCGCCAAAGAGGAUUACAUCGGAUAGAUCUCCAUGAAGAUCAUGGAGAAGUUUGUAUUGAAGAUCCAAGAUGGAGAAGAAGCCAUCUAGCUACUAACUACGAACCAGUAGGUCUGAAGUGAACUACUCACGAGUCAUUGGAGGGGCGAUGAUGUUGAUGUAGAAGCCCUCCAACUCCAAAGUCCCCUCCGGCAGGGCACCGGGAAGGGUCUCCACAUGAGAUCUCGCGGAAACGGAAGUUUGCUGCGGCAGAAAAGUGUUUUCGAGGAUUCCCUGGUUUUUUCUGUAUUUUAGGGAAUAUAUAGGCGAAGGAGCUAGGUUAGGGGGGCGCCAGGGAGGCCACAAGCCUGCUGCCCCCCCUGGUGGUGGCUAGGGGGCUUGUGGGCCCCGUGUAACCCUCCUGCCUUGGCCCUCAAGCCCCGUGAUCUUCUUCCAGUCGGGGAAAUUUUAUUUUGGGGAUUUUAUUCCGUUUGUACUCCGUUCCAAAAUCAGAUCUCAAAAGAGCGAAAAACACAGAAAAAACAGGAACUGGCACUUGGCACUGAAUUAAUAAGUUAGUCCCAAAAAAGAUAUAAAAGGUACAUAAAACAUCCAAAGAUGACAAGAUAACAUCAUGAAACCAUCAAAAAUUAUAGAUACAUUUGAGACGUAUCAAGCAUCCCCAAGCUUAACUCCUGCUCGUCCUCGAGUAGGGAAGUGAUAAAGAAUGAUUUUUUUAUGCUUUCAUGCUACCUAGCAUAGAUGUCCUUUGUAACUCCUCUUAUGUGACGUGAAUGUUCAGAUCCAUUAGAUUCAAAACAAUAGUUUGCUAUUGACGUGGAAACAAUAAUAAUUCAAGCAAACUAGCAAGGUAAUCAUGAACUUUGAAAAUAACAAGGCCAAAAGAAAGCUAUCCCUACAAAAGCAUGUAGUCUGGCUAUGCUCUAUCAUCAUUGUAGAACGAAUUUAAAUCAUGCACAACCCCGGUAUUGGCCAAGUAAUUGUUUCACGCCUUUACUUUCUCAAACCUUUUCAACUCUCACGCAAUACAUGAGCGUGAGCCAUGGUUUUAGCACUAUAAGUGGUGUGGAGUGUGGUGGAGGUUGCAAGACAAAAUAAGGAGAAGAUGAUCACAUUAACUAGGCAUAUCAAUGAGCUGUGGAGAUGCUCAUCAAUAGAUAUCAAUGUGAAUGAGUAGGGAUUGCCAUACAAAUGAUGCACUAGAGCUAAGAGUAUGUGAAAGCUCUUAAAGAAAACUAGUGGGUGUGCAUCCAACUUGCUUGCUCACGAAGACCUAAGGCAAUUUUGAGGAAGCCUAUCAUUGGAAUAUACUCCCUCCGUUCCUAAAUAUAAGUCUUUUUAGAGGUUCAACUAAUGAACUACAUACGGAUGUAUAUAGACAUACUUUGAAGUAUAGAUUCAUUUAUUUUGCUCUGUAUGUAUACACCUAGUGAAAUGUCUUAAAAGACUUAUAUUUAGGUACGGAGGGAGUACAAGCCAAGUUAUAUAUUGAAAAUUUCCCACUAGCUAUAUGGUGGUGACAAAACGAGAGACUCUCAAUCAUGAAGAUCAUGGUGCUUAAUAUGCACAAGUGUGGAAAGGUGGUAGCAUUGUCCCUUCUCUCUUUUUCUCUCAUCAUUUUUUUGGUGGGCUCUUUGGCCUCUUUGACUUUUGUGAAAAGAUUGUUGAGGUUUUCAUGGAUAACUUCUCCGUUUACGGGGUAUUCCUUUGAUUAUUGCCUCAGCAACCUUGAUCGAGUCUUGCAGAGAUGUAAAGACUCCAAUCUUGUCUUGAAUUGGGAGAAGUGCCACUUUAUGGUUAAUGAAGGCAUCGUCUUAGGACAUAAAAUUUCUGAAAGAGGUAUUGAAGUCGAUAAGGCUAAGGUUGAUGCAAUCGAGAAAAUGCCAUACCCCACAGAUAUCAAAGGGAUAAGAAGUUUCCUUGGUCAUGUUGGUUUCUAUAGAAGGUUCAUUAAAGACUUCUCUAAGAUUUCUAGGCAUCUUACCAAUCUCUUGCAAAAGGAUAUUCCUUUUGUUUUUGACGAUGAUUGUGAGGAAGCCUUCGAAAUACUUAAGAGGGCUUUGAUAACUGCACCUAUUGUUCAACCACCUGAUUGGAACUUACCUUUUGAAAUCAUGUGUGAUGCUAGCGAUUAUGCUGUUGGUGUUGUCCUAGGGCAAAGAGUUGAUAAGAAGUUGAAUGCUAUUCACUAUGCUAGUAAAACUCUAGAAAGUGCCCAAAGAAACUAUGCCACUAUGGAAAAGGAGUUUUUAGCAGUCGUGUUUGCCUGUGAAAAGUUCAGGUCUUACAUAGUUGAUUCCAAAGUCACUAUUCACACUAAUCACGCUGCUAUUAAGUACCUCAUGGAGAAGAAGGACGCUAAACCUAGACUUAUCAGAUGGGUUCUCUUGCUACAAGAAUUUUAUUUGCACGUUGUCGACAGAAAGGGUGCUGAUAACCCCGUAGGAGAUAACUUGUCUAGGUUGGAGAACGUUCUUGAUGACCCACAACCUAUUGAUGAUAGCUUUCCCGAUGAGCAAUCGAAUGUCAUCAAUGCUUCAUGUAGUGCACCGGGGUAUGCUGAUUAUGCAAACUAUAUCAUUGCCAAAUAUAUACCACCUAGUUUCACAUACCAGCAAAAGAAGAAAUUCUUCUUUGACUUGAGACAUUACUUUUGGGAUGAUCCUCACCUUUAUAAGGAAGGAGUAGAUUGUGUUAUUAGACGUUGUGUACCUGAACAUGAACAGGGACAAAUCCUACAGAAGUGUCACUCCGAGGCCUACGGAGGACACCAUGCGGGAGAUAGAACUGCACAAAGGUAUUGCAAUCAGGUUUCUAUUGGCCCACUCUCUUCAAGGAUGCCCGUAAGUUUGUCUUGUCUUGUGAUGAAUGUCAAAGAGUAGGUAAUAUCGGUAAAUGUCAGGAAAUGCCUAUGAACUAUUCACUUGUCAUUGAACCAUUUGUUGUAUGGGGCUUUGAUUAUAUGGGACCUUUUCCAAAAUCCAAUGGGUAUACUCAUAUCCUAGUUGUUGUUGAUUACGUCACUAAGUGGGUAGAAGCUAUCCCCACUAGUAGUGCUGAUCACAACACUUCUAUCAGGAUGCUUAAAGAAGUUAACUUCCCUAGAUUUGGAGUCCCUAGAUAUCUAAUGACCGACGGUGGUUCACAUUUCAUUCAUGGUGCUUUCCGUAAAACGCUUGCUAAGUACGAUGUUAACCAUAGAAUUGCGUCUCCCUAUCACCCCUAGUCUAGUGGUCAAGUAGAGCUAAGCAAUAGAAAGAUUAAACUGAUUCUGCAAAAGACUGUCAACAGGUCUAGAAAGAAUUGGUCUAAGAAGCUCGAUGAUGCACUGUGGGCUUAUAGAACUGCCUAUAAGAAUCCCAUGGGCAUGUCUCCGUACAAAAUGGUGUACAGUAAAGCAUGUCAUUUACCUCUUGAGCUAGAGCAUAAAGCUUAUUGGGCAAUCAAAGACCUCAACUUUGAUUUCAAGCUUGCCGGUGAGAAGAGGUUAUUUGACAUUAGCUCGCUUGAUGAAUGGAGAACUCAGGCAUAUGAGAAUGCCAAGUUGUUCAAAGAGAAGGUUAAGAGGUGGCAUGAUAAGAGGAUACAAAAGCGUGAGUUCAAUGUAGGUGAUUAUGUCUUGCUAUAUAACUCUCGUUUAAGAUUCUUUGCAGGCAAGCUUCUCUCUAAAUGGGAAGGUCCCUAUGUUGUUGAGGAAGUAUAUCGUUCCGGUGCUAUCAAGACCAACAACACGGAAGGUAAUUGUCCGAGAGUUGUAAAUGGGCAGAGAAUCAAGCAUUAUAUCUCAGGUACUCCCAUAAAUGUUGAAAUCAAUAUCAUCAAUACCAUAACUCUAGAAGAAUACCUAAGGGACAUUUAUCAGCCUGUUUCAGACUCCGAAAACGAAGAGUAUGUGAUUCGGUAAGAAAACAGAGUCCAAAACUUUUCGAGUAGAAUUUUUUCUCCGUUUUGGAAUAUUUGAAAAAAAAAUUGGAAGUAGUCCGGAAAGUGCGCGAGGAGGCGACAAGCCUUCCCGGCGCGGGCCCACCCCCUGACCGCGCCGGGAGGGCUUGUGGCCACCUCGUGCACCUCCCGGACUCCGUUUUCGUGCGGAGUACUCCUUCUGGUCUGGAAAAAAUCAAUAUAUACUCUCCCGUUUGGUCUGACCCCUACAUCACGCAGAUUUCCUCUGUUUUUUGUUUCGAGCCUGUUUCUGUUGUAGAUCUAGAUCGCUAUGACUUCCCCAAAAGCUCCGAAGGACAAGAUCUUCGAGAAGGUCAUCAAUACCUACCUCACGGGAGUGUUGCAACACCCUCAAUCUAUCGAGAUGCGUGAGGGGAUGUUGCACAUCCGUGAUGUUGAGGGGCCCAAGAAGACCGGAAGCGUGGAGAUGAGGCUCGAAGCAAUGGAGCAACAAGUCUUCAAGUGCCAAGGGAUGGUGGAGCAUGGACUCAAUGCCAACCACAUGAUGAUCAUGGAGUUCACCAACAAGCACAUGAUUGAUGCCAAUGACAUUGGGAAGCACCUCUCCAGGCUCUAUGACAGGAUUGAUCAACUCCAUGCCCAGAUCUAUGACCUGCAGAACCAAAACUGUGAGUAUGAGUAUAGAUUUAAAUCAAUACAGUUGGCUGCAGAUUUGAGGAUUCCAGAGACUCGUUCAUCUUUCCAUGAUGGAGCACCUAUGCCUUGGAAGACGUAGGAUCAAGCCCAUGUUGCAACAACUCCACCACCAUCACCUCCAAAGGAAGACAGCUAAGCAUGGGUAUGGGCAAUCCCCUUGGCUGGUGCCAAGCUUGGGGGAGUUGCCCCGGUAUCGUAUCACCAUCACAUAUUUUCCCUUUACCUUUGUUUUAAGUUUUCCUUUUCAGUUUUCUCUUUCUCUAGUAGAUUAAAAGUCUUAGUGUUUUAGUCUUGAGUUUUGCUUUGUGUCACCCCCGAUGUAUUCGAGCUCGUGAUGUAUGUGCAAGCAAUAAAAAUUGCUCUCUAGUUUGUAUGAUCUAUUAGUGUGUGGAAAAUAAGCUUUGUACGAACCUGUGAUGAGGAAGACAUAAAAGCGACAGACUGCAUAAUAAAGCUCUUUAUCAUAGGAGGCAAUAUAAAGUGACGUUCCUCCACACUAAGAGGACACACAUCCAAACCUCAAAAGCGCAUGACAACCUCUGCUUCCCUCUGCGAAGGGCCUAUCUUGUACCUUUACUUUUUGCCCUUGAAAGAGUCAUGGUGAUCUUCACCAAUUCCUUAUUUCGCCUUUAUCUUGGCUAACGUCAUAUGCUUGGGAAAGAUCUAUAUUCAUAUGUCAACUUGGAAGUAAGUAUUCAUGAUUUAUUAUUGUUGACAUUACCCUUGAGGUAAGCAGUUGGGAGCCAAAACUGUAAGCCCCUAUUUUUCUCUAUAUUCAGCUGAAACUUUGAUCUCAUGAGUACCGCGUGAGUUGCAGCAAUUGUAGAGAACGAAAGAAUGAUUGAGUAUGUGGAUUUGCUUUACAAGCUCUUAUUUGACUAUUUCUAAUGUUGUGAUAAAUUGCAAUUGCUUCAAUGACUAAAGGCUAUCGGUUGUUACUUCUCGGUAAGGUUCUUGAUCCAUGCUUUACUUUGUGAAGGAAUUAUCACUUUAGCAUGAGAGAUUAUAUGUUGGUAUGGCUGUUCUGGUCAUGAUCAUGAUGCAUGCAUGUUCGUAUCUUGUUUUGUCGACACCUCUCUCCCUAAACAUGUGGACAUAUUUAUUGAGCUAGGCUUUCGCUUUAGGACAAGCGAGGUCUAAGCUUGGGGGAGUUGAUACGUCCAUUUUGCAUCAUGUUUUCAUGUUGAUAUUUAUCGCUUCUUGGGCUGUUAUUUCACUUCACGGUACAAUACUUAUGCCUUUUCUCUCUUAUUUUGCAAGGUUUACAUGAAGAGGGAGAAUGCCGGCAGCUGGAAUUCUGGCGUGAAAGAGGAGCAAAGUUGAGAUACCUAUUCUGCGCAACUCCAAACGUUGUAAAAAUCAACGAGGAUUUUUUUUCUGGAUUUAUAAAAAUACUGGGCCAAAGAAGCGCCAGAAUGGGCGCCAGCAAGUGGCCACAAGCCUGCACGGUGCGGCCACCCCCAGGCCGCGCCAAGGGGGCUUGUGGGCAGCCUGCUGGCCCAUUGGCCCCCCUCUUCUGCUAUAUGAAGGGUUUCGUCCAGAAAAAAAAAUCAAGGAGGAGCUUUUUCGUGGAUUCGCCGCCGCCACGAGGCGGAACUUGAGCAGAACCAAUCUAGAGCUCCGGCAGGACGAUCCUGCCGGGGAAACUUCCCUCCCGGAGGGGGAAAUCAUCGCCAUCGUCAUCACCAACACUCCUCUCAUCGAAGGGGACUCGUCACCAUCAACAUAUUCAUCAACACCAUCUCAUCUCCAAACCCUAGUUCAUCUCUUGUAACCAAUCUCCCUCUCGCGACUCCGAUUGGUACUUGUAAGGUUGCUAGUACUGUUGAUUACUCUUUGUAGUUGAUGCUAGUUGGAUUACUUGGUGGAAGAGUUUAUGUUCACAUCCUUGAUGCUACUCAUUACCUCUCUGGUCAUGAAUAUUAUUAUGCUUUGUGAGUAGUUACUUUUGUUCCUGAGGACAUGGGAUAAGUCAUGCUAAUACUAGUCAUGUGAAUUUGGUAUUCGUUCGGUAAUUUGAUGUGUUGUAUGUUGUUUUUCCUCUAGUGGUGUUAUGUGAACGUCGACUACAUAACACUUCACCAUUAUUUGGGCCUAGAGGAAGGCAUUGGGAAGUAGUAAGUAGAUGAUGGGUUGCUAGAGUGACAGAAGCUUAAACCCUAGUUUAUGCGUUACUUCGUAAGGGGCUCAUUUGGAUCCACUAGUUUAAUGUUAUGGUUAGACUUUGUAUUGAUUCUUAUUUCGUAGUUGCGGAUGCUUGCGAGAGGGGUUAAUAAUAAGUGGGAUGCUUGUCCAAGUAAGGGCAGUACCCAAGCGCCGGUCCACCGACAUAUCAAACUAUCAAAGUAACGAACGUGAAUCAUAUGAACAUGAUGAAACUAGCAUGACAGAAAUUCAUGUGUGUCCUCGGGAGCGCUUUUCCUCCUAUAAGACUUUGUCCAGGCUUGUCCCUUGCUACAAAAGGGAUUGGGCCACUUUGCUGCACCAUUGCUACUUUUGUUACUUGUCGCUCUCUACGAAUCAUCUCACCACUCAAUCACUUGUUACCGAUAAUUUCAGUGCUUGCAGAUAUUUCCUUGCUGAAAACCACUUGUCGGAUCCUUCUGCUCCUCGUUGGGUUCGACACUCUUACUUAUCUAAAGGACUACGAUUGAUCCCCUAUACUUGUGGGUCAUCAGCAGGCCGUCCCAGGUAGUGAUGGACGCCUUCGGGAGGUUCAGGAGCCAGGAGAGUGCGCCGCCCUUGAGCGCCAUGGGGAACCAACACGCCAUGACCUUGUCGCCUCCGCCCGCCGCCUUGAUGCUCAGCGUGUAAAGUUGCAGGAACUCAGCCGGGUCUUGGUUGCCAUUGUAGCGCGGGGGCAGGCCGGGGCUUGAACUUGCAGGGCAACUUGGCGGGGUAGAGCUCGGGGGCGAUGGCGGGGCACCCCACCGGUCCGACGGGUAUUGUGUGCACGGGAGCCAUCGAGUCUUGUUGCUCCACGGGGUCUGCUUCGAGCGGGGUGCGCUCACGACGCGUAAUUUGCAGUGCUGGGGGCGCGCACACAUCGGCGCGGGGCCGUGGAACCACCUGGCAGCUUGCUUCGUCUCAAGGUCCCGCCCUCGGUUCGUGAGGCCGGUCGCGGGGUCGCGCUUCCUGUCUGGGCUCGGGGUCCGCGACGCGCCGUGGAGGUGGGGGUGGCGCGUCUUCCUCCUCAUUGUUUGUCAGGGACGGUUGGGGUCGGAGUGAGAAGGAGAGUGCCGCGGAGUCACCGGCGGCGAUGAUGAGCUCCUCGAUGCGCUGGAGCCAGUCGUCGUGGCAGUUAGGAGCAGGCCGGUAGCGGGGCAGCUCGGUGGCCAUGGAAAGCGUGCGCCGGCCGUGGGGCAUCUCUGGCCGGUCGCGCGAUACCUACCCUGAAGGUCGGGCGAGUGACGGAGUGGCGGUGCGGCCAUCCGCCUGCUCGGUCGCCGGCUGGGAGGAACCUUGUUGCUCUUGAACCUCGGGGCCGGUGGCAGCAUUCACCACGGGUGACGGCGACCGGCGCGCCGGCAUCGAUGGGCGCUUUCUGGGCGAUGCGGGUGGCACGGUGCUCCACGCGAACCCGGCGAGCGUCAACCAUCGGAGCGGCAGAGCUUGGUAAAGAUGGAUUUUGGACGGAACCUCGACAUACACCCUACCUGGCGCGCCAAAUGUCAGAUUUCGGGCUUCACAAAACCCUAAGGAUUCGAACACAGGGGCGUGUACGAAGAUCUCUCCCUGCUCGGCCUCACCUAGCUCACUACUCGAUGGAAACGACGAAGGACUCGCUCGAUGGUGAGGGGAACGCAAAACACGACAGUUUACCCAGGUUCGGGCCGCUGCGAAGCGUAAAACCCUACUCCUCUUUUGGUGGAUUGCCUCUCUCGGAGGUGGGUGGAUGAACUAGUACAGUGCUCUCGAGCCUCCGGAGGCCAAGUGAUUGAGUGUGUUGCUCUUGAUUGGGAAUGAACUGCCCCCCCCCCCCCCCCGGNNNNNNNNNNNNNNNNNNNNNNNNNNNNNNNNNNNNNNNNNNNNNNNNNNNNNNNNNNNNNNNNNNNNNNNNNNNNNNNNNNNNNNNNNNNNNNNNNNNNNNNNNNNNNNNNNNNNNNNNNNNNNNNNNNNNNNNNNNNNNNNNNNNNNNNNNNNNNNNNNNNNNNNNNNAAGUAUCCUACCCUCUCUCUUUAUAGUGGAGGCCAGGGUCCUCUUCCCUCAUAGCUUCGAGGGGAAGGGGUCCUAAAGCGGCCAAUUUUGAAGGGGGGCAAGGGAACAUGCUCCCCUGCCCAAAGGUGAUCUUCGCCUGCAAAGUAACUGCUCGCGCUGUAGGGAUGGGCCCGAAGGUGACGCUUGCCCUACUGGUGGGCGGUGGCGGCUUCGUUGCAGCAGAAAGGAAACCUUUGGAAGAUGCCUUUGGAACCCCUGUACGCUUCCGCCCCCUUUGCACUAAAGGGGAAACUGUUCCAUCCUGCCAUUUGUUGCUCGCAUGUCCUUCCCCAGCGUCACCCUUGACUCGUGAGGCCCGACCUUGCCUCGGAAUAUCCGCCACUCCGGAGGGGUCGUGAGGAGGCCCCGUGCAGGUCUUGACAAUGCUUCCCAUCGUGAGGCUUGGCCCCUCACAAGGGCCUUGCCUUGAACGGUGUCGGGCCCGUCGGUUUGUUUUUGUGAGGUGAGCCUGCCCUGGGCCACACGCAGGCAGGUCUGGGUACCCCCAUUCCUAGAACGCCGACAACUAGAAAAACCACAAAAAUCUUACUAUAGUAUGUUCCUUGAGAGUCUUUGCGUAGGAGAGGAUAGAUAUGUGACACAAGCUAGAAUAAAAAGUAUUCAUUUUCCCUGUAUUCGCUGCUUUGCAUUGUUUAAUGAAACAUGUGUAGUAGGUAAGCACGACUAUAAUGCACUUUGUGCUCCCGACUUGAGUCUCGUUCACACUACGGUUACUCGUGAGAGAUGAUACAACCUUCGUGCAAGUGUUGCUCGCAGCCUGCACCUUAAUGCGGGUAUUUGUCGGGGAUAUAACCCCACGAUAUAAUUCACCCUAUUGGGUCGGGUCAUCCUGAUGGCGUCUCAUAAGCAAUACACAAGGUGGGCUGAAACUCGGAGGAACAAGACCGGCAAGGCAGCUUACCAAGUAAGUCGGUUUGCGGCCCAAUGUGAGAAGACGGCGAAUCAAGGCCCAAGAGGUGUAAAGUCACCUAGAGUUUCCUUGCUUAGGAGGCAAGGCGAGUUAGAGAUAUACUUGGUCACGAAUCAUAACACGACUCGGACCCUUGUAAGCCAAGGGCCUCGACCUAUAUAUAAAGGCGAGGCCUUGAUACAAAUAGACUUAAGUUGCAAUAGAUCAAUAGCUAGGUCAAGUGAAUCCGCUCCCUUGUAAUUAAUAUCCAAGCAAUAAGCAGAAAGUAGGAGUAGGCUUUUACCUCGAUCAUGAGGGGCCAAACCAGGGUAAACUGUAUGUCUCGAUUCCGAUCAACCCCAACAAGCUAACCAUCCAGUUGCGAUGGCCUCACGUCUAAGUCCUCACACAAGGACAUGUGUGGUGACCAAACCACAAUAGUUGGCACCCACCAUGGGGACAGCGCACUAUGGUUUUGAGUUCUUGAAGGGCUCUUUCCCACGGCUCGAGGGAUACGCCAUUGACAAGAUGACAAAGAGCCACCACGAAAAACUCUACAUCGACGAUGUUGUGUGGGGUCCCGAGGCCGACUCAAUCGAGUACGGGUACCAGGUCCCCUUUGGCAAGAUUCGUGUCUUCAUGAGCAAGAUCGGCGAGUCAGAAUCCGAGUUGAACAUCUGCACCGACCUCAUUGAGUUGGCUCGGCAUGCGCAACCCGCCCGGAGUCAAGUCGGACAGAAGCAUGUUUUUGUUGGUUUUGUGCAAGGUGUAGAACUUGAGGAAAACUCUGUGUCUGGAGGAGAGACUCUUGUUUAUAUAGAUGAUGAGUCCUCAACCAAAGAGACGGAGUCGGUUUAUCUGCUUGAAGAUAGCGGGCUUGGGGGCUACUCCAAUGGCAAUAGUAUUCCGGACCCCAAUGAGCCGCCGUAUCGAGCCGCCAUCUUCAUGAACGGGACGACGCCGGCUCUCCACACUAUAGUGGUCGAAGCAACAACAAUAGUUGACCCUUCAGCACCGGCUUCUGGGGUAUCUGAUUCGGUUAGGCCACCGACUCAAGUUUUGUCUGAGCCGAUGACCACCCUGACAACCUUACUAGGGACCUAGAUCACUGUGGAAAAUCAAGCAAGACGCAAUGCGGAGAUUGCAAAGAUACAUGAACAGAUGACCAAGUCUGAGGAAGACAUUAACGCUGAGAUCACCUGGACAGCAACACUUCAAGCUCAGGUUAAUGUGGAAGCACAUCGUCUGAAGAAGGAGGCAUGGCGUCUUAGCCUUGAUCAAAACACAUCCAAUGCAGUUCUUCGCCGGAGGCACGAUACCCGUUUACCCCCAGUCUAUGAGCCCACACGUUUGCUCAACUCUCCAGGAGCAUGCCCAAGUACUCCACAAGCACCAGUUAUACCCCAAUUGACUUAUGUGAUGCCUGGGGCAGGGUGGCAGCUCAACCUCAUCGGCCAGAGCCAGCACGGAGGGAAGAGCCGGUCCUAGACCUGCCCCUAGUCCACACGACACUCAUGUCUACUGCACAACUUUAUUCUUGUAGACUAUGUUGGGCCUCCAAGCGCAGUGUUUUGUAGGACAGUAGCAAUUUUCCCUCAAGUGGAUGACCUAAGGUUUAUCAAUCCAUGGGAGGUGUAGGAUGAAUAUGGUCUCUCUCAAACAACCCUGCAAUCAAAUAAUAAAUACUCUCUUGUGUCCCCAACACACCCAAUACAAUCGUAAAUUGUAUAGGUGCACUUGUUCGGCGAAGAGAUGGUGAUACAAGUGUAGUGAUGAUAGUAGAUAUAUUUUUUGUAAUCUAAUAAUAUAAAAACAGCAAGGUAGCAAGUGUAAAGCGAGCCUCAUUUUCUAUGGCAUGAGAUUCGGCUUGCUAGCUUUCAGUACAAGCGAGCCUUUCCUCAUGCCUCCUUCAUCCAGGCUCUUAUUGAUCAUGUAGCUGAUUUCUCUGUGGCUGUCACUCACACACAUCGCAAGUGGGUCAUUCCCGCUCACAUGGCGGAUAACUAUGCUCUCAAGAAAACCCCCUCAUCCUCCACAUCCACUCGUCGCACUGCUGCCCGGUCCGCCACCCCCUCAUCUAGCUCCGCUCCUCUCGGUCGCAUUGCCAAAUUCCUUGGCAAGGCCCAUUCUGCUUUGAUGAAGGCCGUCUCUUUCCAGUGUGGCCAAACCCAUGAUGUGGUUUCUCGCUUAGUCUCCUCCAAGAAUGCUCUCAAGGCUCGUCUGAGAGCCUCGGGCGCUCUUGAUGUGAGUGAUGAUGAGGCCACUCCUGCUGCUCCUCCUACUGAUUUUGGCUUCCCAUCUGGUCCUGAGUGGGCUGAUUUCCUUGACGAGGCUGGUGGCAGUGGCUUGCCUAAUGAUGAUGAUGAUGAUGAUGAUGAGCUCUGAGCAUGGUUGUUGCUGGUGGUAUCUCCCUUUUUGGUACUUGGUGCCAAAGCGGGAGUAAUGUAUCGUAGUUUUUAGUCUUUGGAGAUUUAAUGUAAUGGAUAAACUCAUGUAUGGCUACUUAUGAAUGAUUGUGAUUUGCUAUGGAUUGCUAUGAUAUCAUCAUCGACUAUUAUGUUUUGCUCUACUACUUCUAUGAUGAUCUAUUAUCUUUACAUGUUGAUCCAUUGGUUCUUCGAUAUUUUAUCAUGCAUAUACUAAGGGGGAGCUCCGUACUAAAUAUCUCCUAGGCUAUAAUGUAUGUUAAAUCUUUUUGAGACCUAUGUAAAUGUUGUCAUCAACUACCAAAAAGGGGGAGAUUGAAAGUGCAUGCUAUGCCCCUAAUCGACUUUUGGUGUUAAUGACAACACAUACAUAGGAAACUAAUCCUAUUUGUUGAGUGUAUCUCAGGAUGGCAAGUACUUUAGUAAAUUGAGAAUUAUGUGCCAAAGGUUGUCUCAGAAGAUUGGGAUUUAUAAUUCGAGAAGGCUCGGGAUUAUGAAAAGAUGAUGUAGACUAGUCUUUUGAGUUUAGUGAUAUUGAGUAUAGGGAUCUCGCACUAUUAAGAGGGGAUCACAGGUUUUGCGAUGAACUUGAUCAUACCACAUCUUUACUAUCAUACCCAAUACCACACAUUCUCCACUCUGUUCUUCUAUCAAAACAGGUCUAUUGCCUCGGACAUCCGGCUCCCUCCGGACGUCCGAGGGCCGGACGACCGACAGGCUUCGGAAAUCCGCAGCCCUUCACCAGAAGUUUGUGAGUCAUAUAACUCGGAAAUCCGGCUCCCUCCGGACAUCCGAGGGCCAGACGUCCGACCAGCCCCGGAAAUCCGGAACCCUGCACCAGUAGAAGUUGAGUUCUAUAACUCGGAUUUCCGGCUCCCUCCGGACGUCCGAGGGCCGGACGUCCGACCCCCUUCGGAAAUCCGGAACCUACCACGAGAAGAAGUUGAGUCGUAUAACUCGGAUUUCCGGUCCUCUCCGGACGUCCGGUCGUUGUUCAAGUCAAAACAGUUUCAGUCAUAUCUACAUGCCUCGGACGACUGACCCCUGUCGGACGUCCGACCCCUCGCGGACGCUCGGACGUCCGGCAACUGUCGGACGUCCGGACCCUAUGUGACUUAAAGUGCCCCCAACGGCUGGAUUUCACUCCCCACUAUAUAUACUCUUCUCCCACCUCGGGAAAGGGUGUUCAACACAGCUAAGACACAUCCAAGAACACCUUUCCUCUCACUCACUCUUGUCUACACCAAAUCCUAGAUCCCAAGAGCAUUUGUGAGUCCUUUUGAGUGUUGUUCCAAUCAAAAGAUAGAUCGUCUCCCUCUCCUCCUUCCCACCAAAGUGAUUCGUGAUUUGAGCAAGUUUUGAGCAAUCCCCGUGAUCUUGUUACUCUUGGAGGUUGGAGACUCCUAGGCGGUAGGAGUCUUCGGAGAGGAAUCAAACCAUUGUGAUUUCCCCCGGAAAGUUUGUGAAGGUUUGGAAGCCACCUCAAGGCUUACCACUAGUGGUUGAGAAACGCUUUCGUGGAGUUAUCUCAAAGGGAGAAUAGGGUGAGCCUUUGUGGCAUUGGUGUGCCUUCGUGGUAACAUCCGCCCCUCUAAUGGUGACGUAGCUUCCCUCCAAGGAAGUGAACAUCCGGAUACAUCCUUGUCUCUCUUGGAGUUUCGGUUAUUCCUAACCCUAACUCUCUACUUGUGUUAAUCCUUAUUACGUACUUGUAUUUGAUUAUUGUUUACCGCUUGUCUUACUUCACUCUAAAUAGCUUACUCCUUGUUGUAGCAAUUAUUAGGCCUACACUCAUAUUCCGCACUUUUGCCUAAAAUUGCUAAGUAAUUAUUAAAAUUUGGAUUUGUACCUAUUCACCCCCCCCCCCUCUAGGUCCAUCUCGAUCCUUUUCAACAAGGCUCGUGAUAUAUCAAGAUAAUGACAUAUCAAGAACAUGAGAGAGAGAGAGAGAAUAAACACAUAGCUACUAGUACAAACCCUCAGCCUCGAGGGUGGACUACUCCCUCCUCGUCAUGGCCUCCGCCGGGAUGAUGAAGAUGACUACCGGAGAUGAUUUCCCCUCUCUCGCACGGUACUGGAACGUCUCCAGAUUGGUUUUUCAUGUCUACAGAGGCCUGCGGCAGCGAAACUUCUCGUCUAGGGUUAUUUCUGGAGGUUUCUAUAUUUAUAGGAUUUUUGGGCGUUGGAAUCACGCCAAGAUGGGCCAGGAGGUUCCCACUAGAUACCAUGCCGCGCUAGGGGGCUCGCGUGCCCUGGUGUCUAAUGGGCACCAGGGGUCCCCCUCUGGUGGUUCUUUGCUCUAGUAUUCUCUUUUCCACCAAAAAAUCAUCAAAAAGUUUCGUCCAAUUCCGAUAACUUUUAUUUCUGCACACAAAACAACACCUCGGUAGUUCUGUUGAAAACAUCGUUAGUCCGGGUUAGUUCUAAAUAAAUCAUAUAAAGUGCAGCAAAACCAUAUAAAAGUAUUGUAAACAUAGGCAGACAUGCCAUGAAUACUUCAUAAAUUAUCGAUACGUUGGAGAUGUAUCACCGUCCCCAAGCUUAAUUACUACUCGUCCUCGAGUAGGUAAAUGAUAAAAGAAAUAAUUUAUGAAGUGUGAAUGCUAGCAUAGUGCAUAAGUUUGAUCAAUGAUAAUUUCAAUCACUUUUCCUAUCAUCAUAAUGCAACUCUUUCUCAUAAAACUCAUCAUGAUAAAGUAGCAACAAAUUCACAUGUUAUGGUUCAAACAAUGAACUCUCUUGAAACUUAACAACCUAUGUUCUUAGUCACCAAACAAUUGCAAUUCAACUUAUUCUCAACAAAGUCUAAGUAAGAGCUCCACAUACUCAAUCAUCAUAUAGCCUUCUAUGAUUGCUAGUACUCAAAGCAUAUUUUUAGAACAAAUGGCAUCCAUCAAACACAGAGAAAUAUAGGGGCUUAAUGCUUCGCCUCCCAACUCAUUUAUCAUAGAGAUAAUUGUCAACAAUAAUAAGUCAUGAUCAAAUAUAUUUGACUGGCCAUAUGUGCCUAGAUCUUUCCCCACCACAUGAUCCUUGCCAACUAGAGAAUAAUUGAGGUUGAAAUGAGAAUGCAUACUAUUAACUAUUGCAUAAAAGUAAAUAUUGGAAAGUAAAAGGUAGGCCCUUCGUAGAGGGAAGCAGAGGUUGUCAUGCGCUUUUUUGUUUUGUAUGCACAAUCCCUUAAUGCAAAAGAACAUCACGUUAUAUUGCCCCUUAUGAUAGCAACCUUUAUUAUGCAGUCUGUCACUUUUAUUACUUUGCCAUCAGAAGUUCAUACAAUGCUCAUUUUCUCUUGCACUAAAUGAUCAAACAUAUUUAGAAGCAAUUUUUAUUUCCUUUUUGCACCGAUGACAACUUACUUGAAGGAUUUUAUUUAAUCCAUAGGUAGGUAUGGUGGACACUCAUGGCAAGAAACUGGGUUUAAGGGCUUUGGGAUGCACAAGUAGUAUCUGUACUUAGUGCGAAUUUUUGGUUAGCAAAAGAUCCUAAGCAAACACCACAUGUUGGAGGAUCCAUAACAAUAUAACUUCUAUGCAAAUAUACACAACCAUAACUCAUUGCGUUGUCUUCCUUGUCCAACUUCAACUAAUUUGCCCAAGUUUGAAAAUAAUUAAUGGGUAUUCACAAUCAUAGAAGAUGUCCAAGAUAAUAUAUUUAUAUGUGAAAGUUAUCUUCCUUGUACCAAUCAAUCAUGAAUUGCUUGUAUGACCAAUAUUGUGACUGUCAAGCUUCAAAAGAUUUCACUUUCUAAACCCAAUGUGAAGCUACUACUAGGCAUGACUUGAACAUAUAAUUUCAACUUCAUGGUAUUCAACUCAUUCAACAAUUUACUCAUAGGAUAUAAGUGAAGCACAAGAGCAAACAAUCAAACUACUUCCAAAAGAUACAAGUGAAGAUCAAUGAGUAGUUAAACAAUCAAGUAGCUAUGUGAGGACUCUCUCUUAAUAAAGAUUUCCAGAUCUGAUAUUUUAUUUCAAACAACAAAUAAAACAAAAGGCACUCCAAGAAUAGCACAUAUCAUGUGGACAAAUAAAAACUUAGGCUCAACAUAGGCUAACCGAUAUUUGUUCCAUGAAGAGAGGUUGGAUGCGUAGCAUCCCCAAGCUUAGAUGCUUGAGACUUCUUGAAAUAUUUACUUGGGGAAGAGCAUACCCCCGGGUGGAAGAAGUUGCAUGAGAAGAAAAUUGCCUCAGAGGGACAGUUGAAAGACCUCGUAGCGGAACUUAUGAAAGACUUGGCUAAGCUCUACAUCGAGUGUGAGGAGCUCGUGAAGGAAUUAGUGGCUCGUGUGAAGGAACUUCAUGCGUAUAUGAAGGAUAGCAUCGACGCUCUCAAGCAAAAAACCUGCAACAUGGCCACAAUGCGUAAGAUGAUGGAGGAGAGUCAAGAGGAUAUGAAAGUCGUGGAGGCGAUGAAUAAGGGGAUUGGGGAACUCCGAUCCAAGCAAUCCAUCAAGAAUUAGAUAGGAGCGUCCCUGAUCGUUGUUUGUGUCUUCCUUCUUCUGCCACUUCCUUCUUCUUUUGCCCCUGUGUCUUUUGGGAGUUCCCACAUGUAGCAUUUUUUAUUAUCCUAAAUAUGUAAGACAAUUAUUAUCCUUUGCCGAUGCGGAUUUGUCGUUGUAUUAUUUUGUUCUUAAGUACAUGUAUACGAGUUGAAAAUAGGCGAAAAGUCAAGUUCUUAGCGAGGCACGAACAAAACAAUGCUUACAUUGAGUGGGGCAAUGGGAUCACAAGCAACUAGUCCCUUCGUCCAGGCACAUUAACCGCAUGAUAAACAGCGGGUCGGACACAGUUAAUUCAGAAGUUGGGAGCAAGGCGAGCGGAGGGUGGAGGUCAUAGUAUCACUUCCCGAUGAGCCUACACAGCAGACUACUCUCAUGCACCCCGUCGAGUCUGUGCGAUGGACAGAUAUCACGCGUCUCGUCGAGCCUGCGCGGCAAACAACUCUCAUGUUCUCCGCUGAGCGUGUGCGGCGGAAAGUUCGCACACGCCCUACCAUCAAACAGCUGCACGCAAGGAACACCCAUAUCAAGUAAAAAAAAGUUGGAUGUGUGGCACCAAAUGGUUAUCAGAACGCACACGAUUCACGUAAUGCAAUCUUUUGUGAUAAUAAUGUGGCAACUAUCUAUACUAAAAUGUCUAUGUUGCUUGUUAUUGUGUGAGCCUUCUCAAAUUGGAAAACAUACGGUACCAAGGCCUAUAGGUGUCAUGUCAUGACACCGGGGUAAGUUUCAUGAAUUUCAUAUGAGUUUUGUAUUUACAGGAAUUCAAAAAACAAGAUUCUCAAUGAUUGCGGCUGAGACACCAUGCCUGAAUAUUUGUACUUCAUCCACAUUCAUUGCAUGGGACCUAAGAAAGCACCCAGGGACACAAAAAUGAUUUUUCAACAAAUUAUGUUGCACUAGAGCAUGUGCUUCUAGUACAAGAUUUGGAUGACCCAUAUUAGAUCCCUAGAAAACUCAACUGAUUUAUAAAAAGGGCCAAAUGCCCCCUACAUAAUUCCAUAUUUCACCACGCCACCAAUACUAGUCUUUGUUGCAUAUAUAAAAAAUUCCAGUCAAGAGAAUACAUUGAAUGUAGUUUCACCCCAAAGGUGACAUGUUCCCUAUAGAAAUCACAAGUCUUCUUGCAUAAGCCUUGGCUUGUAAGAUGCAUGUCCCAAUACUUGUCUCAAAUUGAUCAUAAAAAUUAGCACGCCGUAUAUGUGUCGUGGCGUAACACUAGGUAAGUUUCAUGAAUUUCAAACGAGUUUUGGAUUUUCGAGGUUUAACAACCAAGAUUCUCAAUGUUUGCGGCCUAUUCACGAUGCCAAGAUGUUUGUAAAUCAUUCACAUCCAGUGCAUGGGAUCUAAAUAGGGACCCAAUGACACAAAAAAUGUUUUUCAACACAUUUUGGUGCCCUCGAGCAUGUGCUUGUAGUUCAAAUUUGAGUUUUGCACAUUAAGUGCCUAAAAAACUCAAUGUCAUUUUCGCCCACAAAUGUGACAUGUUCCCUAUCGAAAUGAUGAGGCUUAUCAUGGGAAGCUCCAAUUUGUAAGAGAUUUGUCCCAAAAUAUGUCCCACGUUGGUCAAAAAAUUUAGCACAACGUACAUGUGGUGUGUCAAGACACUUGGGUAAGUUUCAUGAAUUUCAGACGAGUUUUGGAUUUGUGGGGAUAUAAAAACCCGAAUCCUCAAUGUUUGGAGCCUAGUCACAAUGUCGAGAUGGUCGUAAUCCAUUCACAUUCAUUGCAUGGGACGUAAACAGGGACCCAAGGACACAAAAACGAUUUUCCAACCCAUUUUGGUGUCGUGGAGCAUGUACUUGUAGUUCAAAUUUCAAUUAUGCCCAUUAAUUGUCUAGCAAACUCAAUUAACGUAUAAAGGGGCCAAACGAGCCGUGAAUGAUUACACAUUUUAGCACUGCACUUGUAUUAGUCGAUGUUGCAUGUAGAGAAAAAAAUUAAGAAAUUAAGAGGCGCUGAAUGUCGUUCCGCCUACACAGGUGACAAUUUCCCUACUGAAACCAUGAUGCUUCUUGAGAGAAGCUCUCGUGUGCAAGAGACUUGUCCCAAAUUGGUCAAAAAUAUACCAUGUCAUAUAAGUGUCGUGUCAUGACAUCGGGGUAAGUUUCAUGAAUUUCACACGAGUUUUGGAUUUUGGGGGAUUUAAAAGUCAAUUUUCUCAAUGUUUGCGACCUGGUCACAACGCCGAGAUGUUUGCAAUCCAUUCACAUUCAUUGCACGAGACCUAAAUAGGGACCCAAGGACACAAAUAUGAUUUUUAACCCAUUUUGGUGACAUGGAGCUUGUGCUUUUAGUUCAAAUUUAAAUUAUGCACGUUGAUGACCCACAAGUAUAGGGGAUCAAUCGUAGUCCUUUCGAUAAUUAAGAGUGUCGAACCCAACGAGGAGCAGAAGGAUCUGACAAGUGGUUUCAGCAAGGAAAUAUCUGCAAGCACUGAAAUUAUUGGUAACAAGUGAUUGUGUGGUGAGAUGAUUCGUAGCAAGCAACAAGUAACAAAAGUAGCAACGAUGCAGCAAAGUGGCCCAAUCCCUUUUGUAGCAAGGGACAAGCCUGGCAAAGUCUUAUAGGAGGAAAAACGCUCCCGAGGACACACGGGAAUUUCUGUCAUGCUAGUUUCAUCAUGUUCAUAUGAUUCGCGUUCGUUACUUUGAUAGUUUGAUAUGUGGGUGGACCAACGCUUGGGUACUUCCCUUACUUGGACAAGCAUCCCACUUAUGAUUAACCCCUCUCGCAAGCAUCCACAACUACGGAAGAAGAAUUAAGACAAAGUCUAACCAUAGCAUUAAACUAGUGGAUCCAAAUCAGCCCCUUACGAAGCAACACAUAAACUAGGGUUUAAGCUUCUGUCACUCUAGCAACCCCAUCAUCUACUUACUACUUCCCAAUGCCUUCCUCUAGGCCCAAAUAAUGGUGAAGUGUUAUGUAGUCGACGUUCACAUAACACCACUAGAGGAAAAACAACUUACAACACAUCAAAAUAUCGAACAAAUACCAAAUUCACAUGACUACUAUUAGCAAGACUUAUCCCAUGUCCUCGGGAACAAAAGUAACCACUCACAAAGCAUAAUCAUAUUCAUGACCAGAGAGGUAAUGAGUAGCAUCAAGGAUCUGAACACAAACUCUUCCACCAAAUAAUCCAACUAGCAUCAACUACAAAGAGUAAUCAACACUACUGGCAACCUUACAAGUACCAAUCGGAGUCGCGAGACGGAGAUUGGUUACAAGUGAUGAACUAGGGUUUGGAGAUGAGAUGAUGCUGAUGAAGAUAUUGAUGGUGAUGAGUCCCCUCCAAUGAGAGGAGUGUUGGUGAUGACGAUGGCGACGAUUUCCCCCUCCGAGAGGGAAGUUUCCCAGGCACGAUCGUCCUGCCGGAGCUCUAGAUUGGUUCUGCUCAAGUUCCGCCUCGUGGCGGCGGCGAAUCCACGAAAAAGCUCCUCGCUGAUUUUUUUUUCUGGACGAAACCCUUCAUAUAGCAGAAGAGGGGGGCCAGUGGGCCAGCAGGCUGCCCACAAGCCCCCUUGGAGCGGCCUCGGGGGUGGCAGCGCCGUGCAGGCUUGUGGCCACCUACUAGCGCCCCUCUGGCGCUUCUUCAGCCUAGUAUUUUUUAUAAAUACGGAAAAAAAAUCCUCGUUGAUUUUACGGUGUUUGGAGUUGCGCAGAAUAGGUAUCUCAACUUUGCUCCUCUUUCAGGCCAGAAUUCCAGCUGCAUGCAUUCUCCCUCUUCAUGUAAACCUUGCAAAAUAAGGGAGAAAAGGCAUAAGUAUUGUACCGUCAAGUGAAAUAACAGCCCAAGAAGCGAUAAUACUAACAUGAAAACAUGAUGCAAAAUGGACGUAUCAACUCCCCCAAGCUUAGACCUCGCUUGUCCCCAAGCGAAAGCCUAGCUCAAUAAAUAUGUCCACAUGUUUAGGCAGAGAGGUCUCGACAAAACAAGAUACGAGCAUGCAUGCAUCAUGAUCAUGAUCAUAACAGCCAUACCAACAUAUAAUCUCUCAUGCUAAAGUGAUAAUUCCUUCACAAAGUAAAGCAUGGAUCAAGAACCUUACCGAGAAGUAACAACCGACAACCUUUAGUCAUUGAAGCAAUUGCAAUUUAUCACAACAUCAGAAAGAGUCAAAUAAGAGCUUGUAAAGCAAAUACACAUACUCAAUCAUUCUUUCGUUCUCUACAAUUGCUACAACGCACGUUGUACUCAUGAGAUCAAAGUUUCAGCUGGACACAGAGAAAGAUAGGGGCUUACACUUUUGCCUCCAAACUGCUUACCUCAAGGGUAACUUCAACAAUAAUAAUUCAUGAAUACUUACUUCCAAGUUGACAUAUGAAUAUAGAUCUUUCCCAAGCAUAUGAUGGUAGCCAAGAUAAAGGCGAAAUAAGGAAUUGGUGAAGAUCACCGUGACUCUUUCAAGGGAAAAAAGUAAAGGUACAAGAUAGGCCCUUCGUAGAGGGAAGCAGAGGUUGUCAUGCGCUUUUGAGGUUUGGAUGUGUGUCCUCUUAGUGCGGAGGAACGUCAUUUUAUAUUGCCUCCUGUGAUAAAGAACUUUAUUAUGCAGUUUGUCGCUUUUAUGUCUUCCUCGUCACAGGUUCGUAUGAAGCUUAUUUUCCACACACUAAUAGAUCAUGCAUAUUAGAGAGCAAUUUUUAUUGCUUGCACCGAUGACAACUUACUUGAGGGAUCUUAUUCAAUCCAUAGGUAGGUAUGGUGGACUCUCAUGGCAAAUCUGGGUUGAAGGUUUAUGGAUGCACAAGUAGUAUCUCUACUUGGUGCCGGAGUUUUGGAUAAUAUGAGGUGGAAGAAAUCGUCACAUGCUAAGGGAUCUCUAAUCAUAUAACAUUGUUCGGAGUCAAGCAAACACAAUUCAUUAUGUUGUCUUCCUUGUCCAACAUCUACUUGUAGGCAUGCAAUAGUUUAGUGAGUGUUCACAAUCAUAGAUGGUGUGAGAGAUGAUAUAUUUAUAUGUGAACCUAUCCUUCUUUAUCACUUCCUAUUAAUUGCAACAAUGACCAAGGUCUACGUUUGUCUACCCUCAACAUGUUUCAAUCAUCAUUCUUUUUAUAUGUGAAGCCAUCACUUCCCAUAAGAUCAUUACAUGAUCUUUCAUGCUUUUGUUCUUUUCUCACUCUUUUGAUCAUGGCAAGAGGCAUAUCCCUUCAACUAAGACACUCUUUAUUAUAUGGCUCACGAGCUCGAAUACAUCGGGGGUGACACAAAGCAAAACUCAAGACUAAAACACUAAGACUUUUAAACUACUAGAGAAAAAGAAAGAAAACUGAAAAGGAACAAACUAAAACAAAGGUAAAGGCAAAAGAUGUGAUGGUGAUACGAUACCGGGGCAACUCCCCCAAGCUUGGCACCAGCCAAGGGGAUUGCCCAUACCCACGCUCAGUUAUAUUCCUUUGGUGAUGAUGGUGGUGGAGUUGUUGCAACCUUUGAUUCCAAGAGGGCCAUCAAUCUUUGAUUUAUACCUUGGAGAUCUGUGAUAUAUUUCUCCAACAAAACAACUUCACGAGUGAGAUAAGUAUUGCGAGCAAGAGUUGUUUCACAAAACCUCAAGAGUUCAAUAAAGGAUGGAGACAGUAGGUCGAGGUAGGGUUGGAGGAAAUCCACUUCUUCAACUUCUUCCUUGUUGAGCACAGAUUGCACUUCAUCCCACGCGUGAUCUUUCUCCUUAUCUUUCUCCUUGGUUUCUUUAGGUAACCUCUCCUUAGCCUCCAUGACCUCCAUCCUUUUCAGAUCAGCAUGUAUUUCUCCAUAGACUUGAGGGAGAUUGUUCUCCCCCACAAAUUCCUGGGACGACAUCUUGUCCUAAAUCUGCGGCAGAAAACAGGCUCGAAACGAAAAACAGAGGAAAUCUGCGUGAUACGAGGGUCAGACCAAACGGGAGAGUAUAUAUUGAAUUUUUUCCAGACCAGAAGGAGUACUCCGCACGAAAACGGGGUCCGGGAGGCGCACGAGGUGGCCACAAGCCCUCCCGGCGCGGCCAGGGGGUGGGCCCGCGCCGGGCAGGCUUGUCGCCUCCUCGCGCACUUCCCGAACUAUUUCCAAUUUUUGUAUUUUUUCAAAUAUUCCAAAACGGAGAAAAUUUUGGACUCUCUUUUCAUACCGAAUCACAUACCUCUUCGUUUUCGGAGUCUCAAACAAACUGAUAAAUGUCCCGUAGGUAUUCUUCCGGAGUUAUGGUAUUGAUGAUAUUGCUUUCAACAUUUAUGGGAGUACCUGAGAUAUAAUGCUUGAUUCUCUGCUCAUUUACAACUCUCGGACAAUUACCUUCCGUGUUGUUGAUCUUGAUAGCACCGGAGCGAUAUACUUCCUCAACAACAUAGGGACCNNNNNNNNNNNNNNNNNNNNNNNNNNNNNNNNNNNNNNNNNNNNNNNNNNNNNNNNNNNNNNNNNNNNNNNNNNNNNNNNNNNNNNNNNNNNNNNNNNNNUUCCCAUUUAGAGAGAAGCUUGCCUACAAAGAAUCUUAAACGAGAGUUAUAUAGCAAGACAUAAUCACCUACAUUGAACUAACGCUUUUGUAUCCUCUUAUCAUGCCACCUCUUAACCUUCUCUUUGAACAACUUGGCAUUCUCAUAUGCCUGAGAUCUCCAUUCAUCAAGCGAGUUAAUAUCAAAUAACCUCUACUCACCGGCAAGUUUGAAAUCAAAGUUGAGCUCUUUGAUUGCCCAAUAAGCUUUAUGCUCUAGCUCAAGAGGUAAAUGACAUGCUUUACCGUACACCAUUUUGUACGGAGACAUGCCCAUGGGAUUCUUAUACGCAGUCCUAUAAGCCCACAGUGCAUCAUCGAGCUUCUUAGACCAAUUCUUUCUAGACCUGUUGGUAGUCUUUUGCAGAAUCAGGUUAAUCUCUCUAUUGCUUAGCUCUACUUGACCAGUGGACUAGGGGUGAUAGGGAGAUGCAAUUCUAUGGUUGACAUCGUACUUAGCAAGCGUUUUACGGAAAGCACCAUGAAUGAAAUGUGAACCACCAUCGGUCAUUAGAUAUCUAGGGACUCCAAAUCUAGGGAAAAUAACUUCUUUAAGCAUCCUGAUAGAAGUGUUGUGAUCAGCACUACUAGUGGGGAUAGCUUCUACCCACUUAGUGACGUAAUCAACAACAACUAGGAUGUGAGUAUACCCGUUGGAUUUUGGAAAAGGUCUUAUAUAAUCAAAGCCCCAAACAUCAAAUGGUUCAAUGACAAGUGAAUAGUUCAUAGGCAUUUCCUGACGUUUACCGAUAUUGCCUACUCUUUGACAUUCGUCACAAGACAAGACAAACUUACGCGCAUCCUUAAAGAGAGUGGGCCAAUAGAAACCUGAUUGGAAUACCUUGCGUGCAGUUCUAUCUCCCGCAUGGUGUCCUCCAUAGGCCUUGGAGUGACACUUCUGUAGGAUCUGUCCCUGUUCAUGUUCAGGUACACAACGUCUAAUAACACCAUCUACUCCUACCUUAUAAAGGUGAGGAUCAUUCCAAAAGUAAUGUCUCAAGUCAAAGAAGAAUUUCUUCUUUUGCUGGUAUGUGAAACUAGGUGGUAUAUAUAUUUGGCAACGAUAUAGUUUGCAUAAUCAACAUACCACGGUGCACUACGUGAAGCAUUGAUGACAUUCAAUUGCUUAUCGGGAAAGCUAUCAUCAAUAGGUUGUGGGUCAUCAAGAACGUUCUCCAACCUAUACAAGUUAUCUGCUACGGGGUUAUCAGCACCCUUUCUGUCGACAACGUGCAAAUCAAACUCUUGUAGCAAGAGAACCUAUCUGAUAAGUCUAGGUUUAGCGUCCUUCUUCUCCAUGAGGUACUUAAUGGCAGCGUGAUCAGUGUGAAUAGUGACUUUGGAAUCAACUAUGUAAGACCUGAACUUUUCACAUGCAAACACGACUGCUAAAAACUCCUUCUCCGUAGUAGCAUAGUUUCUUUGGGCACAGUCUAGAGUUUUACUAGCAUAGUGAAUAACAUUCAACUUCUUGUCAACUCUUUGCCCUAGAAUAGCACCAACAACAUAAUCACUAGCAUCACACAUGAUCUCAAAAGGCAAGCUCCAAUCAGCUGGUUGAACAAUAGGUGCAGUUAUCAAAGCCCUCUUAAGUAUUUCGAAGGCUUCCUCACAAUCGUCGUCAAAGAUAAAAGGAAUAUCCUUUUGCAAGAGAUUGGUAAGAGGCCUAGAAAUCUUACAGAAGUCUUUAAUGAACCUUCUAUAGAAGCCAGCAUGACCAAGGAAACUUCUUAUACCUUUGAUAUAUGUGGGGUAUGGCAUUUUCUCGAUUGCAUCAACCUUAGCCUUAUCGACUUCAAUACCUCUUUCAGAAAUUUUAUGUCCUAAGACGAUGCCUUCAUUAACCAUAAAGUGGCACUUCUCCCAAUUCAAGACAAGAUUGGUGUCUUUACAUCUCUGCAAGACUGGAUCAAGGUUGCUGAGGCAAUCAUCAAAGGAAGACCCGUAAACGGAGAAGUCAUCCAUGAAAACCUCAACAAUCUUUUCACAAAAGUCAGAGAAUAUAGCCAUCAUACAUCUUUGAAAGGUGGCAGGUGCAUUACAUAAGCCAAAAGGCAUACGUCUAUAAGCAAAGGUACCGAAAGGGCAAGUGAAAGUGGUCUUCUCCUGAUCAGAUUGCGCAACUGGUAUUUUGGAGAAACCAUAAUAACCGUCUAGAAAGUAGAAGUGUGUGUGUUUAGACAGCCUUUAUAGCAUUUGGUCGAUAAAAGGUAAAGGGUAAUGAUCUUUCCUAGUGGCUUUAUUCAAUUUCCUAAAAUCGAUCACCAUCCUAUAGCCAGUAAUAAUCCUCUGUGGGAUUAAUUCAUGCUUAUCAUUAGGGACAACGGUAAUGCCUCCCUUCUUAGGGACGCAAUGCACCGGACUCACCCAAUCACUAUGAGCAACAGGAUAGAUGAUACCUACUUCCAGGAGCUUUAGUAUUUCUUUUCUCACUACUUCUUUCAUCUUAGGAUUUAAUCUCCUUUGAUGAUCAGCAACUGGUUUGAAAUGAGGAUCAAUUUUAAUCUUGUGCUAGCAUAGAAUAGGACUAAUGCCCUUAAGAUCAUCUAGAGUAUAUCCAAUAGCAGCAUGGUGCUUCCUCAGAUUUUUUAGUAACUUCUUUUCUUUAUGCUAUGAGAGGCUAGCACUAAUAAUAACAAGAUAUAUCUCUUUUUCAUCAAGAUAAGCAUACUUAAGAGUAUCACGCAACUGUUUAAGCUCGAACACAGGAUCAGCCUUUGGUGGGGGUGGAUACCCAAGCAGUUCAACAGGCAGAUUAUUCUUAAGGAUAGGAUAUUGUUCUAAGACAACUCUAUCUAUCUCAUCCCUUUCAUCCAUAUGCAUAUCAUUUUCAUGCUCAAGCAAGUAUUGCUCUAAGGGAUCAGUAGGAGGCACGGCAUUAGAAUCUAAGGCAAUAGUUUCAUCCUUACUAGGCAACUCCUUUUCAUGAGGUUGUCUACCAAACUUAGAGAAAUUGAACUCAUGUGACACACCUUCAAAGCCAACAGUGACAGUUUGCUUCUCACAAUCAAUAUGAGCAUUGACAGUAUUGAGGAAGGGUCUGCCAAAUAUGAUGGGACAAAAGCUAUCUCGUGCAGUAGCAAGAACGAGGAAAUCAGCAGGAUACUUCGUUUUACCACACAAGACUUCAACAUCCCUAACAAUUCCAACAGGGCAGAUAGUAUCUCUAUUGGCAAGCUGAAUAGUGACAUCAAUAGGUUCUAUCUCAACAGGUGCAAUCUCGUCUUUGAUUUCAUCAUAUAAGGAUUGAGGUAUUGGACUAACACUAGCACCCACGUCACAUAAGCCAUGAUAACAAUGAUCUGCUAUCUUAACAGAAACAACAGGCAUGCCAACAACAAGCCUAUGUUUGUCUCUAGCGUGAGGUUUAGCAAUUCUAGCAGCAUCUUCACAGAAGUGCAUAUUAUGUUCAUCAACAUCGUCGUACAGAAGAUCUUUGAUGAUAGCAAUACUAGGUUCAACUCUAAUUUGCUCAGGGGGUGUAGGUGUUCUAAUAUAGCCUCUACGUAUAACAGUUGAAGCUUUAGAAUGAUCCUUUAUCCUAACAGGGAAAGGUGGUUUCUCAAUGUAAGCACUGGGAACAAUAGGAUCAUUAUAGGCAAUGACUUUCUCUUCAACUGGAAUGGGUUUAACUACAUUAACUUCUAAAGGAGGAUGAUAUUUAAACCACUUCUCUUUGGGGAGAUCAAUAUGAGAAGCAAAGGAUUCACACAGUGAAUCUACUAUCGCAGAGUCAAGUCCAUACUUAGCGCUAAAGUCACAGAAAGUAUUUGUCUCAACAAAGUAUUUAACGCAAUCAAACGUGAAAUUCAUACCUGACUCCUUACCUUCUUCAAGCUCCCAAUCUUUAGAGUUGCGUUUAAUUCGCUCCAAUAAAUUACAUUUGAAGUCAAUAUCUCUCUUCAUAAAAGAACCGGUACAAGAAGUGUCAAGCAUGAUGCGAUCAUCAUGAGAAAGCCGAGCAUAGAAGUUCUGAAUGAUAAUUUCUCUCGAGAGCUCAUGAUUGGGGCAUGAAUAUAGCAUUGAUUUAAGCCUCCCCCAAGCUUGAGCGAUGCUUUCUCUGUCACGAGGCCAAAAAUUAUAAAUAUAAUUCCGAUCACGAUGUACUAAAUGCAUAGGAUAAAACUUUUGAUGAAAUUCCAAUUUCAACCGAUUGUAGCCCCAUGAUCCAAUAUCAUCACAUAGCCUAUACCAUGCCAACAUCUUAUCCUUCAAAGAUAAAGGAAAGACCUUCUUCUUGACCUCAUCCUCAGGCAAACCUGCAAGCUUAAAUAAACCACAAACUUCAUCUACAUAGAUUAGAUGCAAGUCUCGAUGUGCUGUUCCAUCUCCUGUAAAAGGAUUAGCCAGCAGUUUCUCAAGCAUACCCGAAGGAAAUCCAAAGCAAAUAUUUUCAGUAGGUGCAGCAGGUUGAGGAGCAACUAUUUGUGCUUCCGUUCGAGGUGAAGAUACCCCGAACAAGCCCCUCAAAGGAUUAGUAUCCAUAGUGACAAGUGACAAUAAAUUUCAGCACACUAUAUGAAUGUUUCCUUACCAAGUUCCACUUAGCAAAGGCGCUUCACUCCCCGGCAACGGCGCCAGAAAAGAGUCUUGAUGACCCACAAGUAUAGGGUAUCAAUCGUAGUCCUUUCGAUAAGUAAGAGUGUCGAACCCAACGAGGAGCAAAAGGAUCUGACAAGUGGUUUUCAGCAAGGAAAUAUCUCCAAGCACUGAAAUUAUCGGUACCAAGUGAUCGUGUGGUGAGAUGAUUCGUAGCAAGCAACAAGUAACAAAAGUAGCAACGGUGCAGCAAAGUGNUUUGAUAUGUGGGUGGACCAACGCUUGGGUACUGCCCUUACUUGGACAAGUAUCCCACUUAUGAUUAACCCCUCUCGCAAGCAUCCGCAACUAUGAAAGAAGAAUUAAGACAAAGUCUAACCAUAGCAUUAAACUAGUGGAUCCAAAUCAGCCCCUUACGAAGCAACGCAUAAACUAGGGUNNNNNNNNNNNNNNNNNNNNNNNNNNNNNNNNNNNNNNNNNNNNNNNNNNNNNNNNNNNNNNNNNNNNNNNNNNNNNNNNNNNNNNNNNNNNNNNNNNNNNNNNNNNNNNNNNNNNNNNNNNNNNNNNNNAGCUUCUGUCACUCUAGAAACCCAUCAUCUACUUACUACUUCCCAAUGCCUUCCUCUAGGCUCAAAUAAUGGUGAAGUGUUAUGUAGUCGGCGUUCACAUAACACCACUAGAGGAAAAACAACAUACAACACAUCAAAAUAUCGAACGAAUACCAAAUUCACAUGACUACUAUUAGCAUGAGUUAUCCCAUGUCCUCAGGAACAAAAGUAACUACUCACAAAGCAUAAUCAUAUUCAUGACCAGAGAGGUAAUGAGUAGCAUCAAGGAUCUGAACAUAAACUCUUCCACCAAAUAAUCCAACUAGCAUCAACUACAAAGAGUAAUCAACACUACUAGCAACCUUACAAGUACCAAUCGGAGUCGCGAGACGGAGAUUGGUUACAAGUGAUGAACUAGGGUUUGGAGAUGAGAUGGUGAUGAGUCCCCUCCGAUGAGAGGAGUGUUGGUGAUGACGAUGGCGAUGAUUUCCCCCUCCGGGAGGGAAGUUUUCCCGGCAGGAUCGUCCUGCCGGAGCUCUAGAUUGGUUCUACUCAAGUUCCGCCUCGUAGCGGCGGUGAAUACACGAAAAAGCUCCUCGCUGAUUUUUUUUCCCUGGACGAAUCCACGAAUCAAUGUGACUUAGUGUAAGUCACGGGAUCUUGUAUUACAGAACGAGUAAAGAGACUUACCGGUAAACCAGAUUGAAAUAGGUAUGCCGAUACUAACGAUCGAAUCUCGGGCAAGUAACAUACCGAAGGACAAAGGGAAUGACAUACGUGGUUAUAUGAAUGCUUGGCACUGAGGUUCAAUCGAUAAGAUCUUCGUAGAAUAUGUAGGAUCCAAUAUGGGCAUCCAGGUCCCGCUAUUGGAUAUUGACCAAGGAGUCCCUCGGGUCAUGUCUACAUAGUUCUCGAACCCGCGGGGUCUGCACUCUUAAGGUUCGACGUUGUUUUAUGCGUAUUUGUGUUAUAUGGUUGGUUACCGAAUGUUGUUCGGAGUCCCGAAUGAGAUCACGGACGUCACGAGGGUUUCCGGAAUGGUCCGGAGACAAAGAUUGAUAUAUAGGAUGACCUCAUUUGAUUACUGGAAAGUUUUCGGCAUUACCGGGAAUGUACCGGGAGUGACGAAUGGGUUCCGGAUGUUCACCGGGGGGCAGCCCACUCGGGGGAAGCCCAUGGACCUUAGGGGUGCCGCACCAGCCCUUAGUGGGCUGGCGGGACAGCCCAAGCGGCCCUAUGCGCAGGAGAAGAAAAAAAUCAAAGGAAAAAGAAAAAAAGGGAAGUGGGAAGGAAGGGAAGGACUCCACCUUCCAAUCCUAGUUGGACUAGGAUUGGAGGAGGAUUCCUCCCCCCCUUGCUUCGGCCGACCCCUUGGGGCUCUCUUGAGCCUCAAGGCAAGGCCCUCCCCCUCCCUCCUAUAUAUACUGAGGUAUUAGGGCUGAUUUGAGACAACUUUGCCACGGCAGCCCGAUCACAUACCUCAACGGUUUUUCCUCUAGAUCGUAUUUGUGCGAAGCUCGGGCGGAGCCCUGCUGAGAUAGAUCACCACCAACCUCCGGAGUGCCGUCACGCUGCUGGAGAACUCAUCUACCUCUCCGUCUCUCUUGCUGGAUCAAGAAGGCCAAGCUCAUCGUCGAGCUGUACGUGUGCUGAACGCGGAGGUGCCGUCCGUUCGGCACUAGAUCGGAGCGGAUCGUGGGACGGAUCGCGGGACGGUUCGUGGGACAGUUCGCGGGGCGGAUCGAGGGCCAUGAGGACGUUCCACUACAUCAACCGUGUUUCUUAGCGCUUCCUGCUGUGCGAUCUACAAGGGUACGUAGAUCCAAACCCCCUCUCAUAGAUGGACAUCACCAUGAUAGGUCUUCAUGCGCGUAGGAAAUUUUUUAUUUCCCAUGCGACGUUCCCCAACAGUGGUAUCAGAGCUUGGUUCAUGCGUAAAUGUUAUCUCGAGUAGAACACAAAAGUUUUUGUGGGCGGUGAUGUGCGAUUUGCUGCCCUCCUUAGUCUUUUCUUGAUUAUGCGGUAUUGUUGGAUCGAAGCGGCUCGGACCGACAUUACUCGUACGCUUACGAGAGACUGGUUUCGUCGCUACGAGCAACCCCGUUGCUCAAAGAUGACCGGCGAGUGUCGGUUUCUCCAACUUUAGUUGAAUCGGAUUUGACCAAGGAGGUCCUUGGAGAGAGGUUAAAUAGCAAUUCAUACAUCUCCGUUGUGGUGUUUGCGUAAGUAAGAUGCGAUCCUACUAGAUACCCAUGGCAACCGCGUAAAACAUGCAACAACAAUUAGAGGACGUCUGACUUGUUUUUGCAGGGUAUGCUUGUGAUGUGAUAUGGCCAACGACGUGAUGUGAUAUAUUGGAUGUAUGAGAUGAUCAUGUUGUAAUAGUUAAUAUCGACUUGCACGUCGAUGGUACGGCAACCGGCAGGAGCCAUAGGGUUGUCUUUAAACUAACGUUUGUGUUUGCAGAUGCGUUUACUAUAUUGCUAGGAAGUAGCUUUAGUAGUAAUGGCAUAAGUAGCACGACAACCCCGAUGGCGACACGUUGAUGGAGAUCAUGGUGUGGAGCUGGUGACAAGAAGAUUGUGUCGGUGCUUUGGUGAUGGAGAUCAAGAAGCACAUGAUGAUGGCCAUAUCAUGUCACUUAUGAAUUGCAUGUGAUGUUAAUCCUUUUAUGCACCUUAUUUUGCUUAGAACAACGGUAGCAUAAUGAGGUGAUCUCUCACUAAAAUUUCAAGACGAAAUUGUGUUCUCCCCGACUGUGCACCGUUGCUACAGUUCAUCGUUUCGAGACACCACGUGAUGAUCGGGUGUGAUAGACUCAACGUUCACAUACAACGGGUGCAAAACAGUUGCACACGCGGAACACUCGGGUUAAACUUGAGGAGCCUAGCAUGUGCAGACAUGGCCUUGGAACACAAGAGACCGAAAGGUCGAGCAUGAAUCAUAUAGUUGAUAUGAUUAGCAUAGAGAUGCUUACCACUGAAACUAUUCUCGACUCACGUGAUGAUCGGACUUGAGAUAGUGAAUUUGGAUCAUGUACCACUCAAAUGACUAGAGAGAUGUACUUUUUGAGUGGGAAUUCUUAAGUAAUAUGAUUAAUUGAACUAAUUAUCAUGAACAUAGUCUAAUGGUCUUUGCGAAUUAAGAUGUAGCUUGCGCUAUAGCUCUACUGUUUUUAUAUGUUCCUAGAGAAAAUUUAGUUGAAAGUUCAUAGUAUCAACUUUGCGGACUUAGUCCGUAAAACUGAGGAUUGUCCUCAUUGCUGCGUAGAAGGCUUAUGUCCUUAAUGCACCACUCGGUGUGUUGCACCUCAAGCGUCGUCUCUGGAUGUUGCGAACAUCUGACAUACACAUUUUUGAUGACUACGUGAUAGUUCAGUGCGCAAUACUUAAUGGCUUAGAAGCAAGGCGCCGAAGACAUUUUGAAAACGUUGCAGAACAUAAGAGAUGUUCAAGGAGAUGAAAUUGAGAUUUCAUGCUCAUGCCCUUGUUGAGAGAUAUAAGACCUCCGACAAGAUUCUUUGCCUACAAAGUAAAGGAGAAAAGCUCAAAAUCGUUGAGCAUGUUCUCAGAUUGUCUGAGUACAACGAUCGCUUGAAUCAAGUGGGAGUUAAUCUUCCAGAUAAGAUAGUGAUGGUUCUCCAAAGUCACUGCCACUAAGCUGCUAGAGCUUCGUGAUGAACUAUAACAUAUCAAGGAUAGAUACAAUGAUCCUUGAGCGAUUCGCGAUGUUUGACACUGCGAAAGUAGAAAUCAAUAAGGAGCAUCAAUAGUUGAUGGUUAGUAAAACCACUAAGUUUCAAGAAAGGCAAGGGCUAGAAGGGAUACUUCGUGAAACGGCAAAACAGUUGCUGCACUAAUGAAGAGACCCAAGAUUAAACCCAAACCCGAGACUAAGUGCUUUUGUUAUGAGGGGAACGGUCACUGAGGCAGAGCUACCCUAGAUGCUUGGUAGAUAAGAAGGCUGGCAAAGUCGACAGAAGUAUAUUUGAUAUACAUGAUGUUGAUGUGUACUUUACUAGUACUCCUAGUAGCGCGAGGGUAUUGGAUACCGGUUCGGUUACUAAGUGAUUAGUAACACGAAAUGAAAGCUACGGAAUAAACGGAGACUAGCUAAAAGCGAGGUGACGAUACGUGUUGGAAGUGUUUCCAAGGUUGAUAUGAUCAAAUGUCGCACGCUCCCUCUACCAUCGGGAUUUGUGUUAAACCUAAAUAAUUGUUAUUUGGUGCUUGCGUUAAGCAUGAACAUGAUUGGAUCAUGUUUAUUGCAAUACGAUUAUUCAUUUAAAAAGAAUAAUGGUUACUCUAUUUUCUUGAAUAAACACCUUCAAUGGUUUAUUAAAUCUCGAUCGUAGUGUUACACAUGUUCAUGAUAUUGGUGCCAAAAGAUACAAGGUAAUGAUGAUAGUACCACUUACUUGUGGCACUGCCGCUUGAGUCGUGUUGGUAUAAAUUGCAUGAAGAGGCUCUGUUCUGAUGGAUCUUUAUACUCACUUGAUUUUGAAUCACUUGUGACACGAAAAUCAUACCACAUGAGCAAGGCCUUGUUUUCAUUGAGAUGAGACAAGAUAGUAACUUGUUGGAAGUAAUACAUUUUGAUGUAUGAAGUCCAAUGGGUGUUGAGGCACACAGUGGAUAUCAUUAUGUUCUUACUUCAAUGACGAUUUGAGUAGAUACAUGAGUAUUUACUUAAUGAAUCACAAGUCUGAAAUAUUGAAAAAGUUCAAUUCUGUUUCAGAGUGAAGUUCGUCGUAACAAGAGGAUAAACUAUCUACGAUAUGAUCAUAGAGAUGAAUAUCUGAGUUGCGAGUUUUGGUACACAGUUAAGACAAUGUGGAAGUUGUUUUGCAGUUCAUGCCACCUGGAACACCAUAGUCAGAUGAUGUGUCCAAAUGUCAUAGCUAUGCCAUAUUUGAUAUGGUGCAUACUAUGAUGUCUCUUAUCGAAUUACCACUAUCGUUUAUGGGUUAUACAUUAGAGACAACCGCAUUCACUUUAAAUAGGGCACCGCGUAUUUCCGCUGAGAUGACACAGUAUAGACUAUGGUUUGGAGAAACCUAAGUUGUCGUUUCUUGAAAAUUUGGGGUUGCGAUGCUUAUGUGAAAAGGUUUUAGUCUGAUAAGCUCGAACCCAAAGCGGAUAAAUGCAUCUUCAUAGGAUAUCCAAAAUAAUUGGAUAUAUCUCCUAUCUCAAAUCCGGAAGCAAAGUGUUUGUUUCUAGAAACGGAUCCUUUCUCGAGGAAAGGUUUCUCUCGAGAGAAUUGAGUGGGAGAGUGGUGGAACUUGAUGAGGUUAUUGAACCGUCACUUCAACCAGUGUGUAGCAGGGCGCAGGAAGUUGUUCCUGUGGCGCCUACACCAAUUGAAGUGGAAGCUGAUGAUAGUGAUCAUUACAGCUUCGGAUCAAGUUACUACAAACCUCGUAGGUCGACAAAGGUCGCUUACUACUACAGAGUGGUACGGUAACCCUGUCUUGGAGGUCAUGUUGUUGAGCAACAAUGAACCUACGAGUUAUGGAGAAGCAAUGGUGGGCCCGGAUUCCGACAAAUGGCUGGAGGCCAUGAAAUCCGAGAGAGGAUCCAUGUAUAAAACAAAGUGUAGACUUUGGAAGAACUACUUGAUGGUAGUAAGACUAUUAAGAAAGGAUGGAUCUUUAAAAGGAAGACAAACGAUGAUGGUGAUAAGUCACUAUUAAGAAAAGCUCGACUUGUCACAAAGAUGUUUUCGACAAGAUCAAAGAGUUGACUAUGAUGUGACUUUCUCACUCGUAGCGAUGCUAAAAGUCUGUUGGAAUUAUGUUAGUAGUUGCUGCAUUAUUUAUGAAAUAUUGCACAUAUGAAGUCAAAACAUUGUUUCCUCGACGGUUUCCUCGAGGAAAGAUUGUAUGUGAUACAAUCAGAAUGUUUUGUCGAUCCUAAGGAUACUAACAAGUAUUCAAGCUCCAGCGAUCCUUCAAUGGACUGGUGCAAGCAUCCGGAGUUGGAAUAUACACUUUGAUGAGAUGAUCAAAGAUUUUGGGUUCAUAGAAGGUUUAUGAGAAACUUGUAUUUCCAAAGAAGUGAGUGGGAGCACUAUAGAUUUUAUGAUAAGUAUAUGUGGUUGACAUAUUGUUGAUCAGAAGUAAUGUAGAAUUUUUGUGAAGCAUAAAAGGUUGUUUGAAAGGAGUUUUUCAAAGGAAUACCUGGAUUGAGCUACUUGAACGUUGAGCAUCAAGAUCUAUGGAGAUAGGUCGAAACACUUAAUAGAAGUUUCAACAAGAUGCAUGCAUAGACAAGUUUUUGAAGGAGUUCAAAAUAGAUCAGCAAAGAAGGAGUUCUUGACUGUGUUGUAAGGUGUGAAUUUGAGUAAGACUCAAAACCUGACCAUGGCAGAAUAAAGAGAAUAUACGAAGGUCGUCUUCUAUGCCUUGGCAGUAGACUCUAAAGUAUGCCAUGCUGAGUACCGCACCUGAUGUGUGCCUUGCAGCAAGUCUGUUAAGAGGUACACGGAGUGAUCCAGGAUUGAAUCACUGAUCAGCGGUCAAAGUUAUCCUUAGUAACUAAAUGAACUAAGGAUUUUUUUUCUCGAUUAUGGAGGUGGUUAAAGAGUUCGUCGUAAAGGGCUACGUUGAUGCAAGCUUUGACACUAAUCUGAAUAACUAUGAGUAGUGAAACGGAUUCGUAUAGUAGAUAUUUGGAGUAUUUCCGAAUAGCACGUAGUAGCAGCAUCUAUAAGAUGGCAUAAAUAUUUGUAAAGCUCACUCGUAUCUGAAAGGGUUCAGAACCGUCGACUAAAACCUCUCUCACAAGCGAGACAUGGUCAAACCCCAGAACUGUAAGAGUGUUGGAUUCGUUAGAACCACAUAGGGAUGUGGACUAGAUUAUUGACUCUAGUGCAAGUGGGAGACUGUUGGAAAUAUGCCCUGGAGGCAAUAAUAAAUUAGUUAUUAUAUAUUUCUUUGUUCAUAAUAAUCGUUUAUUAUCCAUGCUAUAAUUGUGUUGAAUGAAGACUUAGAUACAUGUGUGGAUACAUAGACAAAACACUGUCCCUAGCAAGCCUCUAAAUUGGCUAGUCAGUUGAUCAAGGAUAGUCAAGGUCUUCUGACUAUGUACAAGGUGUUGUUGCUUGAUAACUGGAUCACAUCAUUGGGUGAAUCAUGUGAUGGACUAGACCCAAACUAAUGAACGUAGCAUGUUGAUCGUGUCAUUUUGUUGCUACUGUUUUCUGCGUGUCAAGUAUUUAUUCCUAUGACCAUGAGAUCAUAUAACUCACUGGCACCGGAGGAAUGCCUUAUGUGUAUCAAACGUAACAACGUAACUGGGUGACUAUAAAGAUGCUCUACAGGUAUCUCCGAAGGUGCCCGUUGAGUUAGUAUGGAUCAAGACUCGGAUUUGUCACUCCGUGUGACGGAGAGGUAUCUCGGGCCCACUCGGUAAUACAACAUCACACACAAGCCUUGCAAGCAAUGUGACUUAGUGUAAGUCACGGGAUCUUGUAUUACGGAACGAGUAAAGAGACUCACCGGUAAACGAGAUUGAAAUAGGUAUGCGGAUACUGACGAUCGAAUCUCGGGCAAGUAACAUACCGAAGGACAAAGGGAAUGACAUACGGGAUUAUAUGAAUGCCUGGCACUGAGGUUCAAUCGAUAAGAUCUUCGUAGAAUAUGUAGGAUCCAAUAUGGGCAUCCAGGUCCUGCUAUUGGAUAUUGACCAAGGAGUCCCUCGGGUCAUGUCUACAUAGUUCUCGAACCCGCACGGUCUGCACAUUUAAGGUUCGGCGUUGUUUUAUGCGUAUUUGAGUUAUAUGGAAUGUUGUUCGGAGUCUCGGAUGAGAUCACGGACGUCACGAGGGUUUCCGGAAUGGUCCGGAGAUGAAGAAUGAUAUAUAGGAUGACCUCAUUUGAUUACCGGAAAGUUUUCGGCAUUACCGAGAAUGUACCGGUAGUGACGAAUGGGAUCCGGAUGUUCACCGGGGGGCAGCCCGCCCGGGGGAAACUCAUAGGCCUUAGGGGUGCCGCACCAGCCCUUAGUGGGCUGGUGGUACAGCCCAAGAGGCCCUAUGCGCAGAGAAGAAAAAAUCAAAGGAAAAAGAAAAAAGGGGAAGUGGGAAGGAAGGGAAGGACUCCACCUUCCAAUCCUAGUUGGACUAGGAUUGGAGGAGGAUUCCUCCCCCCUUGCUUCGACCGACCCUUGGGGCUCUCUUGAGCCUCAAGGCAAGGCCCUCCCCCUCCCUCCUAUAUAUACUGAGGUAUUAGGGCUGAUUUGAGACAACUUUGCCACGGCAGCCCGACCACAUACCUCCACGGUUUUUCCUUUAGAUCGUAUUUUUGCGGAGCUCGGGCGGAACCCUGCUGAGAUAGAUCACCACCAACCUCCGGAGUGCCGUCACUCUGCCGGAGAACUCAUCUACCUCUCUGUCUCUCUUGCUGGAUCAAGAAGGCCAAGAUCAUCGUCGAGCUAUACGUGUGCUGAACGCGGAGAUGUCGUCCGUUCGACACUAGAUCGGAGCGGAUCGCGGGACGGUUCGUGGGACGAUUCGCGAGGCGGAUCGAGGGACGUGAGGACGUUCCACUACAUCAACCGCAUUUCUUAACGCUUCCUGUUGUGCGAUCUACAAGGGUACGUAGAUCCAAAUCCCCUCUCGUAGAUGGACAUCACCAUGAUAGGUCUUCGUGCGCGUAGGAAUUUUUUUGUUUCCCAUGCGACGUUCCCCAACACAAGUAAGGGCAAUACCCAAGCGUCGGUCCACCCACAUAUCAAACUAUCAAAGUAACAAACGGGAAUCAUAUGAACAUGAUGAAAACUAGCAUGACAGAAAUUCCCGUGUGUCCUCGGGAGCGUUUUUCCUCCUAUAAGACUUUGUCCAGGCUUGUCCCUUGCUACAAAAGGGAUUGGGCCACUUUGCUGCACCAUUGUUACUUUCGUUACUUGUUUCUUGCUACGAAUCAUCUCACCACACAACCACUUGUUACCGAUAAUUUCAGUUAGUGCAGACAUUACCUUGCUGAAAACCACUUGUCAUAUACUUCUGCUCCUCGUUGGGUUCGACACUCUUACUUAUCGAAAGGACUACGAUAGAUCCCCUAUACUUGUGGGUCAUCAGCCAGCGCCACAAAGAUGGGCUUACUUCCAAGGAACGGGUCGCUCUGCACAAUAUCAGAUCCUUUUGCGCGGGACUCCUCAAAAAAUUGGCGCCUCCCUUGCUCAAGGAAUUUGAAGGGCUACGUGGCGUCAAGGCAGGACAUGAUCCUUUCACCCCGAGGCGUGCAACUCACUCUAUCUCGUUGGGGGGCAAUCAGAAAUCGAAGGCUUCGGUGGCGACACAGUGCUGCUGAAAGCGCUGGGCUUCGACAGUAACAAUGUGGCUGUUUCUGAAGACGCACUUGGACAGCUACGUAUGGUCUUUGACUCACCCUUGCAGGAGCCGCAACUAAGAGCUAUCGCCACCAUUUUUGGGAAGGCUAUCCCCCGCAACAUCAUCGACGAUUUGGAGAGGAACGAUGACACUGUGGUGUAGUAUCCGGGCAGGGCGUUGACAGGAGAUGCACUUGAUUCCAUGUCGACUGUCAAUUUGGAGGUGGUGUGCUGGAACGUGAGGGGUCUUAAUAGCCCCAUCAAGAGGAAGGCGUUGAGAGAGUGAUACGCCUCCGCCGUAUCUACUUUUCCGAACUCUUUUGCCCUUGUUUUCGACUCUAAUUUGCAUGAUUUGAAUGGAACUAACCCGGACUAACGCUGUUUUCAGCAGAAUUGCCAUGGUGUUGUUUUUGUGCAGAAAUAAAGUUCUCGGAAUGACCUGAAAAUUUACGGAGAUUUUUAUGGAAUUAAUGAAAAAUAGCUGCGCAAAGAUCCACCGGAGGAGGUGAGCCAGUGGGCCACAAGCCCAGGAGGCGCGACCACCCCCCUAGCCGCGCCUACCAAGCUUGUGGGGCCCACGUUGCUCCAUCGCCUCCAAUCUCAGCUCUAUUUAGUCCGUCUCGCCCGAAAAAAAUCAAGGAGAAGAGUUCAUCGCAUUUUACGAUACGGAGGCGCCGCCACCUCCUGUUCUUCAUCUGGAGGGCAGAUCUUGAAUCCGUUCUGGGCUCCGGAGAGGGGAGAUCGUCGCCAUCGUCAUCAUCAACCUUCCUUCAUCUCCAAUUCCAUGAUGCUCUUCACCGUUCGUGAGUAAUCUCAUCGUAGGCUUGCUGGACGGUGAUGAGUUGGAUGAGAUCUAUCAUGUAAUCGAGUUAGUUUUGACGGGGAUUGAUCCCUAGUAUCCACUAUGUUCUGAGAUUUAUGUUGCUACUACUUUGCCAUGCUUAAUGCUUGUCACUAGGGCCUGAGUGCCAUGAUUUCAGAUCUGAACCUAUUAUGUUGUCGCCAAUAUAUGUAUGUUUUAGAUCCUAUCUUGCAAGUUGUAGUCACCUACUAUGUGUUAUGACCCGACACCCCCGGAGUGACAAUAGCCGAAACCACUCCCGGAGAUGACCAUGGUAUGAGGAGUUCAUGUAUUCACCAAGUGUUAAUGCGUUGGUCCGGUUCUUUAUUAAAAGGAGAACCUUAAUAUCCCGUAGUUUCCAUUAGGACCCCGCUGCCACGGGAGGGAUGGACAAUAGAUGUCAUGCAAGUUCUUUUCCCUAAGCACGUGUAACUACAUACGGAAUACAUGCCUACAUUAGAUUGACGAACGGGAGCUAGUUACUUAUCUCUCCGUGUUAUAGCUGUUACAUGAUGAAUAACAUCCGGCAUAAUCAUCCAUCACCGAUCCAAUGCCUACGAGUCUUUUACUACUGGUCCUUGCUAUGUUACUUUGCUGCUGCUACUGUUACUCUAUUGCUACUGCUGUUACUCUGCUGCUACUGGUUACUGUUGCUACUGCUGCUAUCAUACGACCUUGCUACUGAUACUUUGUUGCAGACACUAAAUCUUUCAGGUGUGGUUGAAUUGACAACUCAGCUGCUAAUACUUGAGAAUAUUCUUUCGCUUCCCCUUGAGUCGAAUCAAUAAAUUUGGGUUGAAUACUCUACCCUCGAAAACUGCUGCGAUCCCCAUAUACUUAUGGGUUAUCAGAGAGUUUGUGGACUCGAUCCGCAUGGUGAUAGUUUGUAUUCUAGAGUCUAAGCUUGAGGCGGUGGACAAAUAUGUAAUAUUGCCAUGCAUGGGGACAAACUAUGAUGGCUUUACUUACCUCCCGACGUAGGCUACUAGGGGAGGCAUAAUUCUGGCAUGGGACUCCUCUAGGGCGCGGAUCUCUAACUUUGUCAAUGACACUAACUUCAUCACCGGAUACGUCUCGCCCACGGAGGGCACUCCAUGGUGGAUAUCCGUGGUGUACAUGCAGCAGGAGGACGAGCAGAAAAUUAACUUCUUGCGAGAAUUAUCGGACCGUAGAUCGCUCUGCCCGGGGCCUUGGCUUGCUAUUGGAGACUUUAACCUAAUCCUACAUGCGGCUGACAAAAACAACCCGAUCUUGGACAGGAGAAUGAUGGGGACGUUCAAACGCUCCGUCGACGAUAAUGCCCUAAAAGAGUUGUUUCUACAUGGAAGGAAAUACAUGUGGUGCAAUGAGAGGGAGGUGCCCACGCUCACUAAAAUUGACCGUGCGUUUGUAUUUGUGGAUUGGGAGCUUGAUCACCCGGACUGUCUCUUACAAGCUCUCUCCACCGCAUCCUCUGACCACUGCCCGUUGCAUCUAGCUAUGGAGGAUCAUGUGCACAUCAAGAGGCGGUUCCGGUUUGAGAGGUUCUGGAUUAACAUGGACGGCUUCAUGGAUGUGGUCCGUGAGGCUUGGGUAUGCGAUGAUAGCAUCACUGACCCUUUCUUGCGGCUCGAUCGCUUGCUCAGGAACACUGCGAAAGAACUGGCGGCGUGGGGCCAAAAGAAAAUUGGGAACAUCAAACUACAGAUCGCAAUUGCGAAUAUACUCAUCCUCCGGUUCGAUUGCGCUCAUGAGACUCGGCUGCUUACUGACAGCGAGAGAUGGCUCAGGAGAACGCUCAAGCAGCUGGUGUUGGGUCUCGCAUCCCUAGUGAGGACUAUUGCUAGACAAAGAUCACACAUAUCCUGGCUGCGCAAGGGAGAUGCCAACACGAAGCUCUUUCAUCUCGUGGCUAAUGGGAGGAGGAUGAAGAACCACAUCUCGGCGAUCACAGUGGAUGGUCAGAUCAUCACUGAUCAGAGGGGGAAGGAGGAGGCCUUCCACCAGGCGUAUCAUGAACUACUUGGGAAGGACGUGGCACGCGAGUUCACCUUAAACCUUGAUGAGCUCGAUGUUGUGCAGGAUGAUCUUUCGGAUCAAGACUGCAUAUUUCAUGAAGAGGAAAUUUGGAAGGUUAUCAAAGAACUGCCCUCCGAUCGUGCGUCAGGGCCAGACGGAUUCAUUGUCAUAUUCUUUCAGAAGGCUUGGGAGAUCAUCAAAGCUGACCUUACUCACGCGCUGCAUAAACUGCUCAUUGGAAAUGGGAGAGGGUUUGGUAGACUAAACCAGGCAUUGAUCACCCUGAUCCCGAAAUCACCGGUGGCUUGCGCGGUGGCGGAUUUUGGACCGAUCAGUCUGAUUCACAGUUUGCCUAAGCUAGCCUCGAAGCUCCUGGCAACGCGCCUUAGGCCUCGCAUGGGGGAACUGGUGCACAUUAACCAAUCGGCUUUCAUCAAAGGGAGAAACCUACACGNNNNNNNNNNNNNNNNNNNNNNNNNNNNNNNNNNNNNNNNNNNNNNNNNNNNNNNNNNNNNNNNNNNNNNNNNNNNNNNNNNNNNNNNNNNNNNNNNNNNNNNNNNNNNNNNNNNNNNNNNNNNNNNNNUACACGACAAUUUCCUGCUGGUUAGACAGCUAGCGCGUGGCCUACAUCGGAGGAAGGCGAAAGGGGUCCUGCUCAAACUGGACAUAUCUAAAGCCUUCGAUUCUCUAUACUGUCCCUUCCUAUUCGAGGUGCUAAGGGCCAAGGGCUUCUCCGAGCGAUGGAUAUCAUGCAUUGCUACCUUACUGACGACGGCUAGUUCGAGAGUGGCGGUGAAUGGUUGUGCUGGUAGCAAAUUCAUCCAUGCGAAAAGGUCUCUCACAAGGGGAACCUAUAUCCCCCAUGUUGUUCGUGCUGGCUAUGGACGUACUCACUUUGAUCAUUAUUAAGGCACAUGAGAACUCUGCUAUUAGCGCCAUGAACGGUUGUAGCCCGAUGCAACGCCUGUCCUUAUAUGUGGAUGACGUGGUGCUUUCCAUCAAACCUACUCGGCCCAAUCUGCAACUCAUGACUGAGGUGUUUCACAUCUUUGGCGUGGCUUCGGGACUAAAGGUCAACUACAACAAAUCUUCGGCUAUCAUGAUCAGGUCGGAGGAUUCAGAUGCGGAGCUUGUCGAGCGUGCGUUACCAUGGAAAAUGGAACAAUUUCCUUGCAAAUACUUGGGGCUGCAGCUAAGCAUCUGACAGUUACGUCGCUCGGAAUGGCAACCGAUUGUAGACGUGACACUUCAUAUUGUGCCGGGUUGGCAGAGGGGAUUGGUGACUAGGCCGGGACGUCUGGUGCUUGUUAACCAGGUCAUGAGAGCUAGGGCCACGCACCACCUGAUGAUUGUUGAGGCGCCCAAAUGGGCUUUGGAGAAAGUGGACAAAGGCUGUCGGGCCUUCUUGUGGGCUCGCACAUAGGGCAUCCAUGGCGGCAAAUGCGCUGUGUCUUGGGAUCGUGUAUGUCGGCCAAAGAGGCUAGGAGGACUCGGCGUGAUCGACCUGUACAGGCACAGGAUUGCCCUCAGAUUGCGCUGGGAGUGGUUGCGGCGUACAGAUGGCUCUAGGCCUUGGCAAGGUCUUAAUCUGGUUCCUGAUAAGCAAGUGGCCCAUGCCUUUGGCAGCAUGGUUAAGUGGAGCUUAGGAUCACGAUCACAGAUUCUGUUCUGGAAAGACAGAUGGAUAAACGGUGCCACGAUCAAGGAAAUUGCACCAUUAGUGGUGGCUAGAGUGAGAACCCAAGUGGCCAACAAGAGAUCGGCAAGAGAUGCACUUCAAAUGCAUGCUUGGACAAAUGAUAUUGUUGGAGAUAUGUGCACCGAAAGCUUGUCUCAGUUCAUCGCGCUCUAGGAGAUUCUUAUCGAUGUGGAGACCGACCCGGGCAGCGAGGAUAAACCGAUCUGGGCCUGGAUUGUGGAUGGAACUUACACGUCAUCAUCGGCUUAUAGGAUGCUUUGCGAGGGGGGGGGGGGGGGGGGGUUCCCCNNNNNNNNNNNNNNNNNNNNNNNNNNNNNNNNNNNNNNNNNNNNNNNNNNNNNNNNNNNNNNNNNNNNNNNNNNNNNNNNNNNNNNNNNNNNNNNNNNNNNNNNNNNNNNNNNNNNGGGGGGGGGGGGGGGGUAGGAGAUUCCAGUCUUAUGCAGAUAUAUGGAAGAGUUGGGCACCCCUGGCUUGCCGGAUCUUCAUGUGGUUGGCAGUGCAAUACCGGCUGUGGACGUUGGAUAUGAGGGCACGACAUGGGUUACAAGACAAUACCUCCCCUUGCUACUUGUUUGAUCAAGAAAAGGAUACAGUCGACCAUAUCCUUAUUCAAUGUGUCUUCGCUAGGCAGUUAUGGUUCCUUUGCUUCUCUAGGAUGUGGCCGGUAUCGCACUUGUGCCCAACUCAGCAUGACACCUUGGUGGAGUGGUGGCAGGUGGUUCGAAAGCGUAUCACCCAGCGCACAUGCAAGGGCUUUGACACACUAGUUAUGCAUGUCAGCUGGAGCCUAUGAAAGCAAAGGAACGACAAAGUUUUCGAUAGGAGUGCUGUCCUAAACGAAAGGGGCACGGUGAAUCUCAUUUUCGAGGAUCUUACGAACUAGACUAUGGCAGGAGCUUCUCGAGUGAUCCGUAUGAUUGAGUAGUACAGUCUAGUUAACUCGGGAGUGGGGGCUGGGUUAGGAUCGACCUGUGAUGCCUAACUAGCGAUGUCGUAAUCUCUUAUACAUAACUUCUGACUUCUAGAAAGCUGAAAAGGUUGUUGUCACUAUUAUUAACAUAAAAUAUUUUCAUUUAUUAAAUGAAUGUAUUUUCUUUAGCGGAUACCUGAAUUAUUUUUGGAACCCUAUGUCGAGAAGGCCCGGAACGAGUCCCACGAAAUGAACACACUUCUCGUUCAGUCCGACAUCCUUUAAAUAGGAGGAUAGCCAAGCCGAGCCGCUCCUACGGAGUCCCACCUCGCCGCCGCCAAACCCUCGCCCUUCUUCCGCCGGAGCCCACCGAGCUCUCCCACUCCAGAAAUUCCCCGAGCGGGAGCUCGCCCCCUCCAACGCCGCGUCCUCCUCCAGCUCCACAGGUAGGCCCUAGGCCCCGGCACAAAUCUUGUGAUUCCACCCAUCUCCACCUCGCAUCCAUGUCUCGGCCGGAUUGGUUCUAGUUUGCUCCCUGUUCAUGUUGUGAUGUCUAGGGUUUGUCUCGCAGGGACUGGUCUUCGGGAGAUUCCCAUUUGUUCCCGCGACCCCGCGCGCAGCAACCCUAGGCGGGCUCGUCCGCCAUGUUUCCGCCGAAAGGUCCCAAUCCCUACGGGCAGCAACCGCCGUACGGCGGGCAGCAAUCUUACGGCGGCCAAAUCGUAUGUCUCUCUCAAAAAAAAAAGCGCUGAUCUGGUAUUUGCUUAGUUGUGUUAUGUCCAGAUUCGUGGCAGGUUCUCAUCUUUUAUGUGCGCAAAAACCUGCGCUCUUUUGCCCUACUUUUGUGUGCAGCCUGGUAGCAGUGGAUUUGGGGCCUCAGGUGCGGCAGGUGCCCGCGCCGGACAGGCUGCUGCUGGGCAGUAUGGAGGGCCUUACGCGUCGGUGUAUGGCACACAGCAGGUGGUUAACUAAUCGCAAUUCACCAACAUUUUUCAAAAUUGGUUUCAAUAUACAAUUUAUUGGCCUCCUAAUGCAGUUCAUGCUCACUACUGUUACUGUGUAAGUUGCUUUGUCAGUCGUUGUUAAUGUGGUGUAUGUAGAGGGGGAAUCUUUAUAGCAAAGGCAAAUAAUGAAGGUUAUUAGCUGCCAGUUUGAUGCCUUUGGAAUGCAAAUGGUAGUAGAACCGCGCAGCUUCAUGCUCUCAUAAAUCUGAUGUAUCCACAUGGACAUCUGAGAUAAAAGAAAGCACUAGGUUUGGCCAGUGCUGAAGAGGCUGGCCAGGAUUAUUAGUUCUAGCUCAAAUAAAAUUAUCUAAAAUGUUGCUGUGUGAAUCCAAGUAAAACUAAGGUGUCCUCCUGGACCUGAUUUUUUUUGUUUAUCCUUACCCUUAUCCACACGAAGAGCAACUAGUAUUAUAUUAUCCCGGAAGUGUGCCUAUUUUUUUUUUUUUUGGAUGUUUAAAAGGUCACUGAUUCUGUUAGUCCAGAAAACCUAGGAAUUGAUAAUGGCCCUGUGAGAUAAUUGUACAAAAUGAGAGCCAGAUCUCUACUCAUCCUGAAAGAUAAGUAGCAAUGAUGCAGCAUCUAGCUCAUAUGCCCCUUUUGAGUGACCCAUGCUAUCGCCCGUCAUAAUCUAUUGGUUCACACUAGAAUAUUGCUCUGAAAGAUGCCUCACCCAAUGUCCAAAACAUACUAGUUAUGUAUGUGUUAUGCAUCAUUCUAUAUCUUGAUAGUGAGGUUUAAGCUUCAGCUUAAAACUGCAAGAAUCUGGAGGAUUGCAAGUAAAGGUUGCUCUCAAGCCAUCUCCACCUUGCCCCUCCCCUGCAUAAGUCUGUCAGAUCAUGUCCAAACUGUUUAGUGGUGUUAAGACUUGUGAGGGUUUUUGCAAACUAGAUAUAUUUCUGAUUUUCCACCGCAGAUAGGAAUCAAUGGGCUGAUUCUGUAGCACUUAUUUACAGCUACAUAAGCCCAAGGUCAGCUUUUUGUUCUUGCUGUUUCAUUCUUUGUGCCGCAUAAUUACCAGGUAAUUUGAUGUCUGUUUCAUUUUGUAAGUUCUUCUUGUCUCCCAAAUAAGAAUAUGACAAAAUAUAAUAGAUCCCACCAAUUACCAUUUCAUUUACAUGAAUGCCCCUAUCAUACUGAUUAAUGGCAGGAUAGAGUAGAAUAUGGUUUGACCAAUUAUCAUUGUAUUUACGAUAAUGCACUACUAAAAUAACUGAGCUUGCACUAGGCAUGUCAUAUUCAAUAUUUCUGAAAAAAGCAAUGCUAGAGCAUUUCAGCAUCCAGAAUUUCACAAUAUGGGGGCCUCUUUUAGACGAGGAAUGCAUGUUCAUGUGAGUUGUCUAUGUUAACUGACUUGGUGUCCUGGCAGUACCUCGAAGCAGAAAACAGAGCAAGUGCUGGAAUAAUUUGCUGGCUAGUCCACUAAACUGUAGUUGGUAGUCAUGUAGUAUCGCACAUAGCUUAUCCGUGUAUCAAGGAAUCAAAUGAUCUGGAAAAAGAAUACAAAAACUCUUUUAGGUAAAUAAGCUUUUCCUGGGAUAAACUUAUCUUAUGUGGCAUUAAACUUAUAUAUACUUGCCUUCACAUAAUAUUUGUGCUUUUGUGCAUUUUGUCAGAUUUAACGUGUUAAGCCAUUUUGCCGGUAGUUCGUGAAGAGCGGAUACUAGGAAGAGAUUUCUGUUAACCAGUCGUGUCUUUUUCUUUUGUUAUUUCCGAGUUUGUAUUUUUUAGGCCUUGUCUCAAUGUUGAUCUCAACUCUUUGUUUCAGCUGUAUUUGUAUGUUGAUUACUUUCUUCCAUGGUCAGAUCUCACCUCCUUUUAGUUUCAAGUGUCACGACUGUUCCAUGAGUUCUGUGCAUGAUAUCUUGACUGAAUAUCUGAUUUUUUUUUUGCAGGUUGGGGGACUUGGUAGCAAAGGUCCGGAUUCUUCUAGUCUUCCUAGCCUGCCACCUCAUACAUCUUCACUAUCUCAGUCAUCCAAGUUCUCGUCUGGAUCUGCAGGGUCUAACUUGCCAAGACCAAAUGAUGACUAUAUGGCUGUGCGUGGAUAUGCACAGAAGCUAGACCAGUAUGGUACUGAUUACACAUCAGAGAGAAGAAUGUAUGGUGAACACUCAGCUAAUCUUGGCAGGAGGGAUGGCCUUACUGAUUUGGAUAGAAGAUAUCCUGAUCAUAUACCUGCAGCCCAUCAGGUAUAUAAUGUGUGCUCACUUUUUUUGGGGGUUUUCCCCUUAAUUUAGUUAAUUUAGCAAACAUAAUCUUAUGACCACAUUUUUUAUAUCUCAGAUUCAUGACCGUGUGGAGCAGGUAGCAUUCGUCUUUCCCUUACAAAACUAUGGUCUGCUCUCUGUUAUGGCCUAUAAUUAUGUCUAUUCUGUUAAUCUUUUCAGGGUUCAACAAUGCGCCACCAGCCACUUCUGAAAGCUCAGCUGCCGCCUGUGUCUGAUAUGAGGUACGUUAGCUCACAGCCAGGUCACUUAUAUUGUUCAGGUUUUCUAUCCACAUGGUAGACCAUAGUCACUCUCAGUUUAAAAAGUGCAUCAAAUGAACGACUAUGUGCAUGUUCCAAACAUCUCUGCUUAGGACUAAAUUUUGUUAGUUAUUUUAAUUAAUGUACCUCACCGGCCCUUUUGGAAAGCUAAAUUAGCGAUCCUUUGUGUGUUUAUCACUGCAAAAAAACAUAGCACAUGCACUGAGUAAAAUAUGCAUUUCUGGCAGACAAGCCGAUUACUUUGCAGGAAGGUCCGCUCCAAUCCAUCAAGAAUCUCAGGAAAUUAGUACAUAUGGAAGGGCUGAAGCUGACCAUCGCAACUUGUCCAUUCUUGGGAAUGUUCCAUAUGGAGGACAACAAACAUCUUCAUUGUUGGGAGGCGCCCCUAGGACAAACAUUGAUAGUCUUGGCUAUGGGCAAGGAUCAUCAAGCAGUGGUUAUGGGAUGGGUCUGCCCCCGGGGCGUGACUAUGCCUCGGGGAAAGGCCUUCUCCAUCCAUCUUCAGAUUCUGAUUACCGUGACAACAUCUUACCCCGUGCACGUCCAGGCAUCUCCAUGGUUGAUGAACGUGCAAUUGACCGGGUUGGUUAUCGUCGUGAGCUGGAUCUAAGAGAUGAGGAACGUCGAAGGGAUAUGCUACUUGAAAGGGAGAAGGAGCUUGAACGGGAGCGGGAACGGGAGCUGCGAGACCUUCGAGACCGUGAAAGAGAAAGAGACCGUGAAAGAGAAAGAGAACGUGAAAGGGAAAGGGACCGUGAAAGAAUAAGGGAACGUGAAAGAGAAAGGGAGCGGGAGCGUCAAAGGGAACAUGAAAGAGAACGUCUUCGCGAGCGCCGCGAGAAGGAGAGGGAGCGGAACAAGAAGCAUGUAGCUGAUUCAAGGCGUGAGCGCACUCCACCUAGAACCCCUGGUGAUCGACGACGUUCUUCUUCUGUUAAGUCUGAGAAGCCUUUGCGGCGCCUUUCACCUCGACGUGAUGCUGUGCAUAGGUGUCUCCAUGUUCUCUCUAGCUUUGUGGAUGCACUUCGUCUUUGGUGCAGCCUUUUAAACUAACACUUUCGUUUGUUGUCCUGAAGGCAUCGUUCGCCUAUUAAAGAAAUAAAGAGAGAAUAUUUGUGCAAGGUAAACAAACAGUUGUGUUCGUCACAGUGUUCUUGCGAAAAUCAAUUGAUAGUAUUAAUUCUUUACGUGCCUCCUUGAUGCACUCUGGUCUCCAGUUUCCUUUACUGCUGUCCUUGUAUCUCUGUGAACUUAUGCGUCCACUCUUGGAAGUAAUAUCUGAGAGAUUCUGGGUUCCACUUAUCCAUCUAUCUACACCAAUCCUUGUUUUUGCCUUCCUAGCCACUUUCUCUUUUCUGUUACCACUUAUCUGGAGAUUUCUGGUUCCUUACUCUUCCACUUUGGAUAAGUUGGAAGACUAUUUACACCUUAAGCAUAGAUUGCACCAGAGUGGGUAUGAUUGAGCAAUCACGGAGAUGUCUUCCAUCCUCCAUUUCUCUCUGUCUCCUUUAUGUGCAAAUAUCAUAUUCAGUAUGUUCAGUUAUGCAGCAGUUUUAGUCUGAUGCCCAGUACGAACUCGUUGCUAAUUGGGCUGUCUGCUGCAGGUUUUGCCAUUUCGUUUUGUGGAUGAUGAGAGAGACUGUUUAUCUUUGACAAAAAGAUAUCCUAGGCUAUCAGUUAUUCCAGAUUUUUCUAAGGUUUGACAUUCUAUUCAUGACUGUUGAAAAUCAAAACUCAACGUGAAAUCAUGGUACUGUAUGAGUUUUUUUUGCCUUACUUGUGAUUUACUUGUUCUGUAGAUUGUCUUGAAUUGGGCUAAAGAAAGCCUAAAUCUUUCGCUGCAUACACCAGUGAGGUAUGCUUGCACUGUUCUCUUUGUUUUCUUGCUAAAUGUUCUUGAGCUUCCUAUUAAUGACAUGUUUUAUACUGUGUUGCUGCCACUGCUGUAAAAUAGUCUGGAGCAUGCCAUCUGUGAAGAUGACGAUAAAGCUGAUGAAAGCGCACUGGUCUCUUCUGAGAACGCAUCAAGCACAAAGACCCCUGAAACCAUUUGGAAUGCAAAGGUUUUUAUGUUUAUAACGUCGUGUUCAUUUUGGAGUAUGAAUUAAAGCUGUAGUUGGUUUGAGUAGUAGCUCCCGAAAUAAGUAGCGAUAGUGUUUAUUUGAGUGAAUUGUGUCAUUGUGCAUGCUAUAGCAAUAUUUGUAGAAAGCAUGUGGUAUAAUUGUCGUGGGCAUUAAUACUCAUGUUCGUAGAAAAUUAUUGCUUGCAAGUAUAUGACGUGCAACCUGUGCUGCUGACCUGCAUUAUCCAAGGGUUUCAUGGUCUUCCUCUUGAUCAUGCUUGCCACUUGAGCAAUCUUUUGAGAAAUGCUAGUCCGAAUCUAGCUUUUUGUAGGACGAAUUUCCCUUGCAUGAAAAAUAUGCCUUCGUCAUUCCAUCGCAUUGUGACAUAGAGACGUCUCAGAAAAUAAAGUUGUGCUAGUACAAUUUUCUGUUGCAUAUUAAUAUAGUUAUUGCGAUGCUAUGAUUUAUAUGUCUCCAUGGUGGUCCAUCGUGUGCUCACCCCUAGCCUUUGCCUAGUCUUUUUUCUUUGAAACUGGAGGAAAGUUUUCGUGGCAUUUGUACUCAUCUGAUAUUGUAAAAAAUCACAAGAGUCUGUCUUGGGAUUGACGUUAGCUCGAGUUUUGUUUUUAGUGCUUUUAAGUAAUCCAAAGAAGAAAAAUCCACCUCACGUUUGGCCGGAUAUAGAGGCACUUAAGUUAUGCUGUUUGUACUACCUUACAAGGUAACUCCAACCAUCGUGAAGUAAUUUCCUUCUGUGCUUACAUAUAUGCCCAUGUGCAGGUACUUCUGAUGAGCGGUAUGAGCAAUGGUGCCUUUGCUGACAUAACGUCGAUGAGAAGUACUGAGGAACGAGUGGUGCACUUGAACAAUAUCUUAAAAUUUGCUGUAUUCAAGAAGGAUCGUUCACUUCUUGCUAUUGGAGGCCCUUGGAAUGCAGCACUUGAUGGUGGAGAUCCAUUGGUUGACUGUUCUUGCUUGAUUCGAACCGCUAUCAGGUAUGCCUUGAUCAAGUAAAUGCACCAUGGAUAACUUGCAACUCUAAUUGUAAAUGCCUUGAUCAAGUAACCUAUCUUGUUGGACAGAUAUGUGAAGGAACUGGUUCAAGUUGAUCUAUCUAAUUGUACUAGUUGGAAUCGUUUCCUUGAGGUACUUCUAAACCUAUCUCAGCAUCUUCUAGGAACUGUAUUUCUUGAAUAUAUUCUUCUUUGGAUGGAAAACAUCAUCCUUCCAUCAUAUACCUUUUAUUUAAUUGGUCAUAUCUGGAUUCUCCUCUGAAUCGUAGAAGCGCAAACACAUAUAUUCCUAUAUGCUUUGUUCCAAAACUCUAUAAUGCACAUUUUACAUUAUGAAUCUUUAACAAUCAGUUUGCUUCCUGUUAAUUUGUUUGACAUUUCUCUGUUAUUUGUGUUUUAAAAUCUUCCCUAUCCGAAAUGACAAUAUUCGAAAGGAUAUUUGUGCUAAUAAUCGUCAGAAUAUUAGACAUUAUGACUGGUAACUGGUCAGUUGCAAAUGCGAUAUCAAACCCUACUCGUAUGUGGUUUAUUGGCUCUUCCAUAGGAUAAUAUGAGAGCAUUUACUCCAGUAAUGAAGUCAUUCGCUUUUCAAGGCAUGCUAUUAUUGCUGAAGUCAUCAGCAUAAUGUAAUACACGUGUUAUGCUGUAGGUCCAUUACAACAGAGUAGGCAUUGAUGGACUCUUUAGUCACAAAGAAAUUACUGUACUUUUUGUGCCAAACCUGUCGGAAUGCGUACCAUCUUCGGAUAUAUGGAGGAACAACUGGAUUGCAUACCGAAAAUCAAAGAUAGAAAGGGAGCAGUUGAAUAUGAAGAAGGAAAAGGUAAGCUUGUGGUUACUAUUAUAACAUACUUUGUUUUCUUCUGAAACAUCACUAAUAGUUCUGACUUCCUGUUGCAUUUUAGAGCCCAAGUGAUCCAAAGGAACAGAAACAAGGUUUGAAAGAUCCUCACUUAUCAUUUCACUGCCUUUUCCUUGUCUAAUGAAUAAAAUAAUUGAUCCUUGUUUAUUUGUCAGCAGUUUUAGAGGAGCCAAGCGAGGCUAAAAGUAUGAAUGAUCAAUUGAAGGAGGGUGAUGGCGCUGUUAAGAUUGAGAAAAUUGAUGCUGAUAUGGAACUUAAGGAGGGUGAUGGUGCUGCCAAGAUUGAGAAAANNNNNNNNNNNNNNNNNNNNNNNNNNNNNNNNNNNNNNNNNNNNNNNNNNNNNNNNNNNNNNNNNNNNNNNNNNNNNNNNNNNNNNNNNNNNNNNNNNNNNNNNNNNNNNNNNNNNNNNNNNNNNNNNNNNNNNNNNNNNNNNNNNNNNNNNNNNNNNNNNNNNNNNNNNNNNNNNNNNNNNNNNNNNNNNNNNNNNNNNNNNUUGAUGCUGAUAUGGAAGAGCAGGUCAAAGAUAGAGAUGUCAAUCUUGCUGGUGAUGGUGGCAAGAAUCCUGACAAUGUUGGGGAGCAAGUUGAGAAGACAGUGAGGGUUGUUGAAGGAAACGCUUCUGGUGAUGCUACUGUUGACCAUGUCACCGAGGAUAAAAAGCCCAUGAAGAAGAAAAUAAUAAAAAAGGUUGUGAAAGUUGUUCGAAAAAAGCCAACUGCUGAAGCUCCAGUGGAUAAAUCGCCUCAGGUUGACAAGAAUGCCGUGGCAGAAACUGCGAGCAAAACCGUCGAAAAGCACAUUGAACAAAAAAGUGAAGAUCUUGGGGAAGAGAAGGCGGGAGCUGGCAUUGGUCAACAGCCUGAGGCUAAGAAAACUGGGAAGAAGAAGGUAAUUCGAAGGAUUGUUAAAAGAAAAGUUCCUGCUUCAGCGACUGAGCCAACAGCCCUUGCUGCACCUGCUGAAGCAAGUAAACAAGAUGUGGCUGUUCAGCCGGAGAAGUUUGAUGAAGUCCCCACCGAUGCUGGGAAUUCACAGACUAAACUGGAAGAAGGAUUGAAAACUCCUGCUNNNN